rnacentral:lncRNA from 1 species
UUUUUUUUUUUUUUUGCGAGAGCUAGGCGGCUCAUUUCUCUCGUGAGCCCCACCAAUUUUGGACCAGAAUAUAUAGUAUCAACAUAAGGCCACAAAAGCGUAGCGUGACGUGUACGGUUUAAUUUUAAUAAGUGCGUUUGAGGUCAAAUUUACACAUAAUUUCCCUGUUUCAAAUCGUUUUUGAGAAAAGUUCUUUUUUUCUUGAGGGACUUUUUAGAAAAGGGAAACAUAACCAAAAUUUUUGCGCAUCUGAGAGAAACGACGUCAGGCAGGCGCGGUAGAAUCUUUGGUCGGCCACGGCCCGCACCCAAUCACCAAUCACCCAACCCAACCCAACCCAAAGCAGCAGAUGACAUCCGCACGCCGCACGGGCCGUCGCCACGGCGUCUGCCAGCGCAUGACGGCGGGUCCCGACCUGCGCAUACAUAUCCUCCUGACCACCAUCCACGUCAUGCCCCCGUGAAAUCCCGGGCCUGCCCCUCGCGGGGCCCACGGGAAUCCGGUUGACCCUGCUGCCCCAACCCGCCAAUGCGUGGUCCCCCCCCGGGCAAGCUGGCGGUGAGGAGAUUCCGUCGUCAUCGUGCGGCUGCACAAACAAAGAUGCAGGCGCAGAAAUAGGCCACUCCGAGGACGCCUGGGAGGGAUUGGAUUGCGCUGCACAAGUACGAUACCACCACCGCCUCCGACUCUCUGACCUCACCUCUCUCUCCCUGUCUUUUCAGCAGAAUCCAUCUGAUCCACGAGAGUACGCAGACAAGAUCGCUGCUUCAGUCCUGCAGAAACAGUGCGUGUGUCUCUGUGAGAUGGAUCGGUCAUAGAGAGACCGCGAAGGCAAGAGCUACCUGCUGCAUCAACUGUUUUAUUGGCGAGCUGCUGCGGCGACGAGAGAUCGGCAUGCCAUGAGGUGGGUUAGUUUGUUCAUGGCGUCUGAUGCAGUAGAGCACUAGAGCUGCGCGUGUGUUUUUCCUUUUUCCCCUUUCGUCCUGCCCUGUCCUGUUCUUGCUUCCGUUAUCUCGUGGGAAGGGGGAGGCAGGAGCACCAAUGGUCAAGUUGCGGCUGCCGGCAGGAUGGAUGGAGGACCGGUUGGGUUGGUGAAAUGGCUAGUGUGCCCGUCUCGUGUUUCUUACUGCUACCACUUUCUUCCUCCAUUGGGGGGUGGGGGCGUGUGACCGCGAUGUGCCUGGCUCUCCUUUCCGCGAUGGGGAUGUUUCGUCCGUAAGCUCAGCUCUGCCUCUCCCCAGUCGCCCUACCCUGCUCGCCUUGUGUUGUGCGGACUAGUGGCGUCCGUUGUGGCAGCCAUGCGCCUCGAAACCAAAAAGAUCGCCUAUUGCGUGCUCGAUUCCUUGGAGUAUUUGACGGACAGUAUUAUCGUUUUCUUCUUUCUGGUGCCCAGUUAAUCCAGGCUCCUUGGUGGUUCGUGGCUCGCGUUCGUUGCUUGCUUGGCUCAGGCGCUGCGGCCGCGGAGGCGGCGGCGGUUCUCGUGUGCUCCUUUCCCCGAUUGGCAUGCCAAGAUUCUGAGGUCGGGUCAGUGAGCGAGCUACUUGAGGUUGAUGGAGCAGCCGGCGGCGCAGAAAGACGAGGACGGCUUGCUGGGUUACGCCGUCAUGGAGGACGUUGCGGUCGGCGACCUGGAUCUCAUGGAGGAGCUGUUCAUGGCGGCGCCGGGGUUCGAUUUCUCCGACUUCUCGCAGCCCGGGCCCGGCGCGUCUCCGGGGGCCUGCUUCUCGCCGCUGUUCGACAUCUGCAGCACCACCACCACGGCGACUCCCCCCGCGCCGGCGGGCGACGACGACAGGGACGACACGGAGAGGCCCGAGGCGCGCCGCGCCUGGCUGUUCCAGCCCAGGCAGGAGGUGGAGGCCACGGUGAAGGAGCGGAUGCGCCGCGCGCUGGAGCGCAUCGCGCAGACGCAUCCCGGCGAGCUGCUCGCGCAGGUCUGGGUCCCCACGCUCAUCGGCGACCGCCAGGUGCUCACCACCUGCGGGCAGCCCUUCUGGCUGGACAGCCGGAACCAGCGCCUCGCCAACUACCGCUCGGUGUCGAUGAAGUACCAGUUCUCCGCCGACGAGAGCGCGUGCGCCGAGCUAGGGCUGCCCGGCCGCGUCUUCGUCGGCCGAGUCCCCGAGUGGACGCCCGACGUCCGCUACUUCUCCACCGAGGAGUACCCGCGCGUCCACCACGCCCAGUUCUUCGACAUCCGCGGCAGCGUCGCGCUCCCCAUAUUCGAGCCCCGCAGCCGGGCAUGCCUCGGCGUCGUCGAGCUCGUCAUGACCACGCAGAAGGUCAACUACAAUGCCGAGAUAGAGAACAUAUGCAGUGCUCUCAAGGUAGAUUGCCCAUUGCUGCUCCUUUUCCUCUUUUCGAUCCUCCAAUCCCCACUUCUCUGCAGACUGCAGGCUAUGCUGUUAUGCUCUUAACCUGUUUGAUGGUAUGCCCUUAGGAAGAGACGUGCUACUACCGGGCACACCAAUCCCCGAAGUAAUCCGUCUUUUCACUUUCCUUUGUUUGGUGGUGUUCUUGCCUCAGUAAGAUUGUGUUUAUGCAAACUUGCAGGAGGUAGAUCUCAGAAGCACUGAUGUUUCAAGUGAUCCCCAUGCAAACGUGAGCUUAAAUGUAUGAACAUCAUAUUGUUGUACUGAUAGUUGAAAGCCUGAAAUGUUGUUAUCGGUAACAUAUGUUGCUUAUUCCUUGUUAGGUGGCUGAUACUUCUUACCGAGCAAUUGUACCGGAGAUCAUUGACGUUCUCAGAACUGUUUGCGAGAGACACGAGCUGCCACUGGCCCAAACAUGGAUACCAUGCAUCUGCCAAGCAAAGAGGGGAAGCCGCCACUCCGAUGAAAAAUUUAAGUACUGUGUGUCGACUGUGGACGAGGCAUGUUACAUUCGUGACCCAAAUGUAACGGGCUUUCACCAAGCUUGCUCCGAUCAUCAUCUGUUCAGGGGUGAGGGUGUUGUUGGUAGGGCAUUUGGGACAAACGAGCCAUGUUUCGCCACGGAUGUUACUGCCUACAGCAAGGCCCAAUACCCUCUCUCACAUCAUGCAAAACUUUUCAACUUGAAGGCUGCAGUUGCCAUCCGGCUGCGAAGUAUCAGGACUGGAAGCCUUGACUAUGUCUUGGAAUUCUUCCUGCCAGUGGACUGUAUAGAGAGCGAAGAGCAAAGGGCCAUGCUUAAUUCUUUGUCCAUUACAAUACAGCAGACCUGCUAUACAUUACGAGUUGUCAGCUUAAAAGAACUAGUGGAUGAAGGAUCAUUUGAAACAAGUACAGUAACCCCAGCAGAAUUUUAUGAAAAGCCCAUUCAUGAAAACUUGGAUGAGGUUUGUAGCAACAUUGAAGUUCCUGUGAGGACAACAUCGCUGGAAACUUCUGAGGAGGUAACUUCAUGGAUAGCAAGCCUUGUUGAUGCUCAAAGUAAGGGAGUGAAAGAAAUGGAUGGUGACCUGCCAUUUGGAUUCAGCAAGCAAGAGGAUGAAGGGUUCAGUGUUACGGCUGGCUGGCAUACUCCACCUGUCCUAGGCCCUAAAGGUACCAUCUUUUCAGGGUUUAAGCAUCACGAAGAAUAUGAGGUCAAGGAGCCUAUUUGUUCCAGACAUCCAAGCCCUUCCAAUUUGGACAAAACAGUCGAGAAGCGGCGCACUAAGAUGGAGAAAACUGUUAGCCUGGAAGAGCUUCGGAAGCAUUUUGCUGGCAGCCUGAAAGAAGCUGCAAAGAAUUUAGGAGGUAACUUCUGACCCACACAUCUUUACAGUUCUUUGCCACUCCUUUUGUUUUAGUACUUUCCUCUGUUUGGAUGGAUAGGCACUUAGGCAGUAGCUUCUAGAUAGCCUGCUGAAAACAACGUCAUCUUCCAAUGCCCAUAACUUCAUUUUCAUGCUACAAAUAGAACUGUAAAACUUUUACUCAGUGUUAUUGCUGCUGAAGAAUGCAUGGAAUCCUAUUAGCUGAUAGUUGGGAUGUAAAUUAGGUGUGUAGUGUGUGAUCAGGAGGGAUACUUCGAAUCAAACAUACUUUUAUAAAAAUAUUAUUUAUUGAUCUAGCUUCCAAUGUUUUUGCUCAGUUGCAAGCGAAAGGUACAACGGUCUUAAUUUUUCAUUUCCUGUUUGCGUAGAUCCUAACUUCAAUGUCUAUACUAUGUCUAACCAUUUCAACUACCUGUUUCAGUGUGCCCUACAACAUUGAAGAGGAUAUGCAGGCAACAUGGAAUUAAUCGUUGGCCAUCACGGAAGAUCAAGAAAGUUGGGCACUCCCUGAAGAAAUUGCAAAUGGUGAUUGAUUCGGUACAUGGUGCUGAAGGAACAGUUCAGCUCAGCUCGCUCUAUGAAAACUUUACCAAGACCACAUGGUCAGAAAGAGAGUUACAAGGGGAUGGCACUUAUCCAUUAUCUGAGCAAAAAGGUCACUUGGAACCUUCGGUUCCUGAUCGGCAGUGCGAGGGCAGAUUCACUUCGCAUACUUCUGGCUCUAAUUCCAUGUCCCCUUCGUGCAGCCAAAGUUCAAACUCCAGCCAUGGUUGUUCCAGUGGUUCAAAAUCGCAACAGAAUGGCAGUGCUCCUCAGCUUGCAGUCAAGCAAGAAGUUUUCAUGGAGGAGAAUCAGAGCUCCACACUACUGAAAGCUGCGAGCCAUGCAGAACUGCAAAUGUUUACCGAAGAAAGACCUGUCACCCUGCCUAGGUCUGAGAGUCAAAUGCUUUUAAGUGAACUAAAGCCAGUGGAAAACAUGUCAGGCAUGCAAAAGUCUAAGCCCGAAUCCCUCAAAAUAAAAGCCAUGUAUGGUGAAGAAAGAUGCAUAUUCCGACUUCAACCUAGUUGGGGUUUUGAAAAGCUAAAAGAAGAAAUUGUAAAGCGGUUCAGCAUUGGUCAGGAGAUGUAUGUGGACCUCAAGUACUUAGAUGAUGAAUCUGAGUGGGUUCUUUUAACAUGUGAUGCGGACCUGCUGGAGUGUAUUGAUGUGUACAAGUCAUCAAGUGCUCAAACAGUAAGAAUAUUGGUAAAUGCUAAUGUUCAGCCAGUGCUUGGUCCUUCCUUUGGUCAAACUGGUUUGUCCUGACAAUGGCACAAUGCCAAUCCAGGAUGCAGAGCAAGCAUCGCAUCUCUAGUUGAAGUAAGAAGUUUGACAUUGCCCUCGGUUUUAAGUCAUGAUAUGCACAGGCAGCAUAUGUAAAUACCUAUAACUUUGUUACCAUCCAAUAGUCAGAUGCCCAGCAAACCAUGAUCAACCAAUAAUCAAGUGGCCAGAAAAUUCUGUCUAGUGCUGCUGGGUAUGUGCUAGAGCUGGAAAGGAAGUGAUUGUCGGUGUUCCCUGUUAGCAGUUGGGAUUAAUUUGUAUGCAGUAAACUGCAUACAGUCUUGUUCGUGGCAGCAGAAGAUGGAAAAUUGUGCUUCUAUUUCAGUUUCAUAACUGUAGAAGUAGUCUAUUGCAGUUGCAGUUACCAAACUAGUGUACAGCAAAUAUAGGUCAGAGGGUGAACUAGUAGUGAUUUGUCGAAAUGAAGCUUUGGAUUAGGUUUAGCAGUCAUUAACAGGUUAGUGCACAGGUGUAAGUUUUUUGGGGGUUUUACCUGUUCAAAAUUGUGUAGUGUUUUCCUUCAAAGUUCAAUAUUUGAAAGAGCGCCCAGAAGUUACAGGAUUCGGAAUCAACAGAAUUCGCCAAUGCUAUAAUGCAUCCGACCGGGAAUGUUGAAAUGCCUCCUCACCAGUGUGAGUAUGCGAUGAAACUAGUGCUUUUCGGUAGUUGUUAUCGUAAAUCUCACCACAAUUGCAGGCAAGCUAACAUUACUUGUAUCCCCAUCUUGCAGAGGCACAUGAUGCUCCUCAUUGAUACAUGAACAGAGCACCUGGAGCUCAAGAGCGCUGACAUGACAACAGUGCACGCAUCAUUGCAUCAAGCUCGUCCCCUUGUUCCAAGUGCAAUUUUGUUGGUCCCCGAUCAAUGUUAAAAUCAGGUUCUGUAUGCACGUCAAACAUUUGGUAGUUCUUCAUGUCUGUGCUUCAUCCUUUCAGAAGGGAUGGUGAAUAAUUUGUCAAGUUAGAACUUAGAAGACUGAACGUGUCUAGUAUCCUAGACCACAUUGAUCCAUGUAGAUUUUUCCCCUCUCAUUUUCUUUCAGCACUGUAGGAUGUUUUGAGGCAAACUGUUGUGUAUUUAUGUUGCAAAUGUACUUUUAUUUCAGAAAUCAUAAUGUACAUGUACUUUGUGCUACUCUGAGUUGCUUACGGUCCUAUGAUACGGCGGUCGGUUUGGUCGCCUGGCUAACGAGGAACUAGUCAGGUAUAGCACCGUUUGCAAAGUAAGAAUAAACUCUAGUAUAUCGGUUAGAUGAAUGAAGCUCAAUCAAAAGUGUUGUUCAUUAGCAGCAAAGCUCAAGCAGUGAUGCAUCAACGCGGCGGCCUGGAAGAAUCAUGGUACGGCGACGACCGGCGCGCGACGGGCCGCGGCGGCAGGUCCCGGUGGCCCUUGGCCCCGGCGUCGGGCGCCUGCAUGGCCUCGACGCCCUCGAGCGCGGCGACGACGUCGGCCAUGGAUGGCCGGCUCCUGGGGUCGCCGGCCAGGCACUUGUUGGCGAGCUUGGCGGCCUGGAGCGCGGCCUUGGGCGGGUACUGUCCGCCGAGGCGCUGGUCCAUGAGGCUCGUCAGCUUCCCGCGGCCGGAGAGGUAGGGCCGGGCCCAGUCCACCAGGUUCUGCUGGUGGCCCGGCCGGUUGAGGUCGUGCGCGCGCAGCCCCGUCAGCAGCUCCAGCAGCACCACGCCGAAGCCGUACACGUCGCUCUUCACGUACAGGUGCCCCGUCGCCACGUACUCCGGCGCCGCGUAGCCGUAGGUGCCGAUCACACGCGUCGUCACGUGGGACCUCCCCGCCGACGGGCCGUUCUUCGCCAGCCCGAAGUCCGACAGCUUCGCCGUGAAGUCCUGGACACGGGAUGUGAAUGUGGUUGGCAUUAGCGUGACCUCGUCGAGUUUGCAAUGAUGCACACGGUGACUCGAGACUGAGAUGAUCAGUUGGGGUUUGUUUACCGAGUCGAGGAGGAUGUUGGACGCCUUGAAGUCCCGGUAGAUGACCUGCUUCUCCGACGAGUGCAGGAAGGCCAGCCCGCGCGCCGCGCCGAUGGCGAUCUUGAGCCUCGUGUUCCAUGCCAACGGCUCGGUCGAACCCCCUGCUCCAAGAGUUUGUAUCCAGCAAGUCAGACAGGGAUGUCAUGCAGUUUUACCAUGUGCGGUUUACUGUUGCCGACGAACAGCGGCUAUGACUUGUACAAGCCACUUGGUCAAACUUCAAAGUUCAGACCAACAUGUGAUGCAGCCAACUGCUAGGCUGGUACGCGACGAUUGCCUAUCCAAAAGUCAAAUGCACUUCUAGAAUCUAGUUAGAUGGCCAAGAUCUGAAGCAUUGUUCUUCAUAUUCAGACAAAAUUCAUGCACGGAUUUUCAAAUGUCCUAGGCUCCUAGCCAGGUUAGGCAGGUGUUUAGUGACCAGGAACGGCGUCAGAAAAGCGAACCACACCAAAUUUUUUGCUCCUAUAGCUCUGCAUUUUUGUCAAUCUUGUGGAAGUUUGGAAGGACCAGGUUUUGUGAAUCGGAAAUUUCGGAAUCGCUGAAAAGUAGAAUGCCAAUCGUAGAGGGCGGUAGGCUGCUUACUCCUGAAGAGAUGGUUUUCCAGGCUGCCUUUGGACAUGAACUCGUACACCAGGAGCAGCUCCCUGUCCUCGCCGCAGUAGCCCAGCAGCCUCACCAGGUUGGGGUGCGACAGUCUGCCCAAGAAGUUGACCUCGGACUGCACUUGCGAAACAAGAAAAAUGCACGUGAUCAAGAGACGCCACUUGGUCUUGGAUGAAUCAGCAAGCCGCCGAUGAACUCAUGACAAGUAAUCAGACAGCUCGAAUGAACAUGGAAACGAGGACUAAACAAUGCAGGUGUGCAAUCAAACAAGCAACGGGCCACGUUGACACUGCAUUAGCACAUUGAUUGCCACAGCAUGUUCUCAAACGUCAAUCAUAACAAAGAUACAUGGUAUGACAUAUGCACGCAGUGAUGGUAGGAUGGAUGGAUCAGGGAGUCCCUAUCUCAUUCUUGAGAGCUAAACCAAUGCAAGAGGAGUUGUAAAAAAAAUGAUGGCGGGGCAGGCGAAAACUAGGGCGGUUGACCUGUACAGUGUUCCACGAAGAAAGCGACGAAAAAAAAGAAAACUGAACCAGAAAUGUUUUUCAUCAAUCAAACAAAAAGACGGGGGAAAAUCAUGAUUUCAGCAUAUGAACAUCCAAAUGCAAUUUUGCAACGGAGAGAGCUUACCUGCCACUCCUGCAGGCCCUGGACGCUCUCCGGGUUGAGCUUCUUGACGGCGACGAUGACGCCGGCGCUGCUCUUGGCCGGGUUGAGCGUGCGCUCGUCGACCCAGCCCUUGUAGACCCGGCCGAAGCCGCCCUCCCCGAGCACCAUCUCCGGCUUGAACCCCUUCGUCGCCGCCCGCAGCUCCGCGAGCGUGAACUCCCUCAGCCUCGGCGCCUCGAGGACGCGCCCCGGCCCCGCACCUCCCUUCUCCUGCGUCCUGCCGCCGUCGGUCGGCUUCGGCCAUGCCGGCGGCCCUGCAAGUACACGCACACAUCGUCAGCACGAUCAGAUCGAAACCUCGUGACUGAACCGGCCGAACUAGCGGCGGCGCAGGCGAACCUUUGGUAGGACUCGGCGGUUUCGUGGCGGCGGCGGCGGCGUCUGCGGAGCCGAAGCAAUUCCCCAUGGCGAAGCAACGGAGCAAGCACGCCUUGGCUUCUUCGAUCGUGCUGGUGCGCGUGGUGGGCGAUGUGCUAGCUAGCUAGUACUAAUCCGAGAGCGGAAGGAGACGGGACGUGGACAUCGCGGUAGGAAAGGAGAGGGAGGAAGGAGAUGGCGCGAAGGGAAGGGAGGAGGAGUGCGCUAUCUAUCUGGUCUUGGGCAUGGGCUUGGUCUGCCGACCCACUCCAUCAUCACGGUUUGACGCCACUGGAUAGUGUGAACUCGCUCUUGGCAUCCAGCUCCAGGACUCGGUCCGCGCGCGCGCGCGCGCAAGCGUUUCUUGCUGGGACUGGGACUGGGACUGUGUCCAGUCCUCGCUAGAUGACGCUGUGUGCCCUUUAAUUUGCAAAAGCUGGGCCACGUCACGCACUGGCCCGCUUGCCAGUGAACGACCCUGUCGUCGCCUGAUUGGUCCAGAACUCUACUUGGAUCACUGCCAGGCAGAUGGGACGAAGGAAGGAGAAGAAGGGAUAAAAACGCCGACGACGGAACGCGGCGUCACCACUCACCACACCUUCAGGGCAGCUGCUCCUCCGUUUCCCAGGCGCGACGCUCGCGAGCUCCGCCGGCCGCCGCGCGCACUGAGCCACUGACGCGAGCUUCUCUGAAGCCGGGCAACCCCAAGAAACAGGCCGUCGCUUUCUCGGUCGGCCCAGCUCUGAACCUGCUCUGCCCUAUCGGAUCGUGGGUUCAGACUAGGAGAUUCAUGUGGGCGCUGGAUAGGCCGUUGAGUGCCUCGCUUACUCCUUGCGACAGCCAGCCAGUCACACAAAUUCUGCUUGCCGCGAGGAGAGAUCAGCACGCCUUGUUUCCACUGACAAUCCUCCUUUUCUCGGCCUGGACUCUGUCAAAAGUGACAGCCUUGGUGAAAGAAGAAAAAGUUAUCUGCUCUUGGAGAUGCUCUUAGUGCCUAACAUCACUGUCCAUCUCUUUGGGGCAUCGACUUAUCCAUUUUCAGUAAAAAAAAAUCCAUAGAAAGCGUAAACCGUCUGGAGGAGAAGACGUAAGUCAACGCCAAUCGGACACUGGAAAAAAAAAACCCUCAGCCCCAGCACCAGUGUGCUUCUGCCUUCUGGAUCGUCGACCAGGUCAAAGCAGCGAGCAACAGGCAUCGUCGUGGCGCCUCCAGUGACGUGGCCGCUCUGUGGACCAAUUCAUCAGUUUGGCCUAGGCCACGUCAACGCCAUGUACGAUUGCCCUGCACCCAUCGCCACGGCCGGAAACCACAGGCACAACGAUUUGAAUCGUUCCACGCUAGUAAACUGCAAUGCUGUGACUCUAUGAUUUAAUGUCCAAAGCAUCGAGCCCACAAUUAUCAAAUAUUCGACAUUUGACUAUAUGCUUUGACUCUACAAAUUUACCAGCAUUCAGCUCAAAAAUAUCAAAUGUCCAACAUUUGAUAGUUUUUCUGCCUCUUCAACUAACCAGCAAUUGUGAAAUACUUAUUGCAUCUACUAACCAACAUGCACCGAAGUACCAAACAAUAGGAGAACUUUGUACAUGACUGAUAACUUGAAGAACAUCCCAAAAGGGGUCUCACUGUUCCCCUUUUCUACUUGGGACUGAUGCAUUUUUGCCGCCCCACAGAGGGCACUGAUCCUAUGUACACUAGCUACAGAAUUCAAAACUGGAAACAAUAAAGCACAUGGAAAGAGCAAUAGUCAUGGUCAGCUUGAACUCCUACCAUCAGCCUCAGAGAAGAUACUAGAACUCUGUCAAGCAGGUCACUCAAGACCACUUCCUCAAUCAAAAAGGCUCUGACUAUAUGGAAUUUGACGGCUUCAAUCUCAACAAUCCUAACAGUCUCAGUCUCAUCUGACUGAGAUAUCUUGCUCUUCUUCUAGACAAGCAUGCAAUCUUGGCUAUGCAUACUGUGCCAUCCUUCUACCACCUCUCCUUCUGGAUGGCGUGCCAACGAAUUGCGGUGACCCGCUGUUCGCAGGGGAGCUCAUAGCUACCGGCGGGCGUUCAGGGGCAUAUGGCUGGCUUGCGACAUGGUUCAGGCCUAUCACAACAUCAGCGAUGAUAGGGCGAACAUGGGGCUGGUCUUGGAGGCACAUGAUGCUGAUCACAACUAACUGGUUCAGCGCUGAUGACGGGUAGCAGCCCAGCAGAGCUGGAUCAGCAAGCCGGUAGAACUUCCUCUUGUCAUGCAGAAAUGGCCUUGACUGCAAAAUUCAGAGAUGAUAAGGAACUGCAUGAAUGAAAAACUUUUGACCUUCUAUGAUCUUAAACAUUACAAGGUAAAGGUCCUUACCCAUGUUAGCAAACUCUGCUCUGGUUUAGGCCUUGACGCGUCGUAAAUCCUCCUGCCAGUUAUCAGUUCCAACAGAAGGACACCGAAGCUGUAGAUGUCCGAUUUCAUGGUAAGUUUACCACUCACAACAUAGUCAGGAGCACAGUAACCAUAGGUACCCAUAACUCUUGUGGACACAUGAGUUCUGUCACCAACAGGUCCAACUUUUGCAAGUCCAAAGUCAGAAAGCUUUGGACUGAAAUCCUCUCCAAGCAGAAUAUUAGCAGCUUUCAUAUCACGGUAAAUGACUGGUGGAUCAGCUACAUUGUGCAAGUAAGAAAGCCCUUCUGCUACUCCAACAGCUAUCCUUACACGUGUGUUCCAGUCAAGUGGUUUCUUGCCAAGAGGCACAUCUAAUCAAAGGUGAAAGAAAACCUCUGUCAAUCGAAUGAAAAACAAAAGAAAUACGUUGAACGUAAACUUGCAAUGGUACCAACGGAAAUAUUUCAUUAAAAUAUUAAAAUGAUUUGUCUGCUACAUCAAACUUUGUAGUAAACAACAGCAGCCACAAUCCUUAAGCAUAGCAACACAAACAGGGGGGCACACAAAGAUCUAAAUACUCAUACAAAAAAUACAAAAAAAGAACAUAGAACUUCAAGGGCUCACAUGAUACCCAUGCCUAGCACUGCUAUCAUCAGGAAGAACAUGUCAUGUUCAGGCAUGAGACAAGACAUGAGAACCUCAGGACUUCAAUAAUUCUUUGUGGGGACAAUUUGGCUAGCCUUAGGUAUUAUGUGGCUGAACAAUUUUGGCACAGUCUGUUAGAAUAAGGGGGUUUUCCAGGUCUCAAACUCUAAAACAAACAAUUAUUACAAACACUUUGUGUUGGUUGCAUGAUAGAAAUCAGUACAACGUUAGCACUUGCACCCUUUCACAGAAUAGGUGGUUCACUGGUUUGACUAUACAGUUAUUAAAUAACAUUGCUGAGCUUACAAAGUUUAUCUAGUUCUUCACUUAGUAAAAUAAUUAAAUGAAGCACAGUUGCUGGAGCCUAGAACUCUGACUUUGUGGCAAUACAUAGGCAAACAAUAGCAAGGAACACUAUUUUCUUGGCUCACUCCAAGAGAAAAUGCCACAGUUUUGACAGCUUGCAACAUAGACAAACAACCAGCAUUCUCAUCCAUUAGUUUUGACAGCUAGCAGACAUAUCGGUUGCUUCUAAGAAAAGGAGGUGCAAACCGCAAAGGCAUGUUGAAACAAGUGCAUUUAUAUUGUUGAAAGAUAAACAAAAAACAUAGAGUUGCAGUUCAAGUGCUAAAAUAUAUGAAUGUGAAGGAAAAUAGCUUCCUACGAAAAGUAACAUAAGGGUGUGAAGCAGUAGUUAACACAUUAAAUAGGAUCCUCAAUUUUUCUUCAUGAUCCUGGUACAAAUAAAAAACCUUAGCUUUUGAAGGAGUUGAAAAGACAUCCUGGAUUCAAAUAAAGAAGGCAAUGGAAACAAAAGAUCAGAUGGUGAAACUUCAUUACUUUUUGUUUUCCAGCGACAGGGCUAGAACAUUACUGGCAUAAAUUUGUAAUAGUAGGUUAUUUUGUGCUUACUGGCACAAUCGGUGCCUAGCUUACAUUAUAAAAUAGUAGCACGAAGGGUCAUACUUCAAAAUCACAAGAUUCUUGCCUACAACCUCCUAAAAUGUUAUUGUGAUUAUCAUACUAAUGGUGAUUUAUUCAUGUAAUAACCAGAUCAACUGGAUUAGCCAGUGUUGCCCGAGCUUUGGUAUGGUGGAUAGUUCCAUAUAGGAACUGAGUGGCAUCUGACUCAGUGCACGUAGUAAGGUGCAAGGAUGAGCUUUGGUAGGCAUGUGUAGACGUCUCCUACAUGUUAGGUGAGCUUUUGAGUGAUUUGGGGAGGAAAGGUGUUGCAAUACAUUUCAUUAUGAAACUGGUUACAUUUUGAUUAGGAUUUCAGUUAAAAAAAUAGUCUGUUCAGAGUGAACAAAAACUGAAGCAAAGAACAUACAGGCCACAGUAAUAGUAUUCCUAGUAGCAGAAAAGUUAGAACAUCAUCUGAUGAAAGCUUUUAAAGGAACAAAGGACACAAUGUCAUCCAUUUCUUGAACUGAAAAUGAAAAGGCAUACAAGGGAGUUGAUUUUAUCUUUUAUCCCAUCCAAUUUCGCAUUAGGGUGCUGCAAUCUUCAAUUAGUUGCCCCUGUUAUCUUUUCCCCUUUCUUUACUGCUUAAGAAAGCACAUUGCCCAAAUGAAGGAAUACUAGACCGUAAAAUGCUAGAGCAGCUUGUCAUCUAAAACAUGCAAGGAAUCAAAUGCAGAGAAGUAUCACAAAAGCCAAUGGAAAAAGUAGCCAACCAUUUCAAUUGACAUAAAACAUACAGACCCCCGAACAUACCAACUCCAGAAGCACACUGCAUACACUUUUUUUUUUGAGACGAACACUGCACAUUAGCUCCAGACAAGAAGCAGAAAGUUUGAUGAGAACAAGUUACCAAACAAAUGGCUCUCCAGGCUGCCGAACGGCAUGUACUCGUACACGAGCAACCUCUCGUCCCCCUGAGCGCAGAACCCGACCAAGCUGACAAGAUUGGGAUGGUUGAGCACUGUCAGCAUGAGAACUUCCACCAAGAACUCGUUCCUCCCCUGCACACCAUCUUGAGCGAGCUGCUUCACCGCCACCAUCUGCACAUCACAAAAGGAAAAGACAUUAGGAAAAAUCAAACCAUGAGCCACAAAAACUGUCAAAAAGUAGUCUUUUUUAGCUCACCUGGCCAUUGAUCUUGCCCUUGUACACCUUCCCAAAUCCACCUUCCCCUAUGAAAUUGGCCUCGUUGAAGUAGCCGGUCGCCACAAGCAGAUCCUUGAAGGUGAAGCUGUGCGCGUAGCCGUUGGCCACAUCCGGCGCCACCUUUCUCCUCGCAUCAGCCCCUGUUUCCCAGCAAAAAUCAGGCAAACAAUCCAAGCCAUGAAACCUGGCCGAACACACUGCGGAUGGAAAUCGAGCCCGGACCUGAUGAAUCAUCGGGUUUGGAGGGCUUGUGGUCCCCGUCUCCCUCGUCCGCCUCCGGUGCGAAGCACCCGAAGCAACCCAUCGGAACGGCGCAGGACGCUCUCCAAGAACUCUUGUUGCCAGAACCAGGCUGCCACUCCCAAGAACAGAACCAAGGACACGAGCGAGAGGAGAGGGGAGGGAGGGAGAGGACUAUCACAAGGAAGCGGCUAUUAAUGCACGGCCAAACCGGGCAGCAAACGAAACACGCCCAUGGGCCCCCAAGAAAAUCCCCCAAAAAGCUCCAAAUCAGGAGCUCGACUGAUCAGCAACCGGCGACGAAUUGCGGGGUUAGGCAGGGCAUCUGCAGUGAGCGAACCAUGCGCCUACAUGGAGCCAAUGGACCGAACCAAACCCAUUGGCCUCUUUCCGUCCGUGCGCCUCAGUGGAGGAUCCACGGGGCGGCGGCGGCUGCGGGAGGGCAGCGGAGGGAGAAGGAAGCGAUGCGAGUGGAGAGAGCGAGAGAGAUGAGACGACCCGGGGGGGAUUGCUGCUCUACUCUCUCGGGGAGGCAACGGCGCGGGGGAUUUGGCAAGAAAUCAUAGCAGGCGCCAUGGGAAUGGAAGCACUCGGAGGGAGGCCCCGCAUUUGACCCCUAGCCCCACGCUGAAUCGGGAGCCAAGAUUAAACGCCGAAAUCAUAGCGCGAUUCCCGAGUAAUUUCUUGCCUCUUUUGCCUCACUUCAAGAUUAUCUAUCCCCUCUGGCGGGCGGUCAAUUUCUACAGGAACGUGAAGCCUGAACCGGGUGAAGCGCUGCAGCUGGGCGGGUGGAGUCUGGCGCCGGCGGCCAUUCUCGUGCGCGGUCUGGUGUGCGGUUUUGUCCUCGUCGUUCCGAGGGUUCUUUGCUGGUUUCCCGGGGCGGCUUUUCCCGCGAGCUGGGAGAGAGAGAGAGAGAGAGAGAGAGAGGGAGAGGGAGGGAGAGGGAGGGAGAAAGUGAUUUCUUUGGCGUGUCCCGCGUGCUACGAUCGUUCCCUUCCAUCGCCAGUUUGCGCAGCGGUAGAUCUGGACUUCUGGAGACUGGAGCACAGGAUAUUUGCCAUGUAGCGCCCCUUGCUUUCAGCAGAUGCACGGCGAUGGACUGACGAAAAUGGAGUCACCAUUCGCAGCCAGCUGAACUGCCAUGUGGAAGGGAGACCACGAUUAUGUACACCAGGCCCACAUGUCAUCCCAUCCCAGUCAAUACUGGCAUUCCAUUUUUUCCCUCCUCCCGUUUCCACAAUGGAAGACGAUUGUUAAUUCAGCGUCAUUUUCUGAUUUGUUUAGUGUCACGUUCUGAUUUAUUAAACCCUUAAAUUUUCGGUCAUCGCAGCAGCAGGCUACUAUAGUGGAUGAAUCUGAAGGACAGAGAGCAGCAAGCGCCACAUCAAUGUUAUGCAUUGCUAUGCUAUACCACACACACUGUCAUCCACAGUGCAUCGUAAAUCUGGUCUGGUUUUGUUCAGAUGAACGCCGCUGAGACCUGUGUGGAGUCGACAGGGCGUCAUGCUGAAUCGUAAAUGCGUCGCAAUGUUGCAUCGAACGUGCCUUGUUCUGCAUCCUCCAAGUGCAUGCAUGUUGAGUGCUUUGAGUGAUUCUUCCUUUUUUUUGUUAAAUAUGCUGAUAUCUUCUUUUGCUUGGUGUGGAGCAACAAUGUACUAGGAACAGUUAAACGCGCUAUGCUGCUGUAUUAGUGGCAAUCAUGCGGAUGCUGAUGCAUGCGUGGUCAGAAAACUCAAUGCAGGUGUACAUCCUUGGAAAUCAGGAUUCAGGAGCAUGUGAGUGUGGAACAAUAUGCCCUUUUCCCCUAGGUUACGGAAUGAGGAAGUAUGCUCUGAUGUUUUCCUGAUCUGGGGGCAAUGGGAUGGUGGUCAAAAGCAGAAGGAAGCAGGGGCUCAAAGUGGUAAAGAGAUUUUUAUAUUAAGAAAAAGUGGUAGAGAGAGGCUAUCUUGAGGUCACUUUCAGUUGCCAAAAUGUUGGAAACUUCAGCGUACUUUCUGUUCGUUUGAAACAAAAAAAAUCCUUGAAAAUAGUGAAUCAGGCUAACGCUGUAACGCAUAUUCCUGGAACUGCAUGCUUCCUGCUGAAGCAUAACAAGAAUAAUGCCAUCGUUACCAAAUGACAGUGUGGACAGGGAGGGAAGAGAAAACUGUCGGUGCCAUCAGAGCCAGGCCUCCAUUCCUCCAAUGUGGUCUCCAGCUGCUGGCCCAUGUCAGGAAAAGUGCUCCCUGAGAUGCAUGCACUCCUGUAAUUAUCGUUGAUGGAUACUUCCUCCGUUCCGAAUUACAAAUCAUUCCAACUUUUUUAAGAGUCAAAACAUCUCAAGUUUGAUCAAAUUUAUACAAUAAAGUACUAACAUUCAUGAUAUCAAAUAGGUACCAUUAGUUUCUUCAUUAAAUAUAUUUUCAUAGUAUAUCUAUUCGGUAUCAUAAACUUUUGUGAUUUUCUCUAUAAUUUUGAUUGAUCAAACAUAAAAUGGUUUGACUCUCCAAAAAAAGUUGGAAUGGCUUAUAAUUUGGAACGGAGGAAGUACAAAACAAAAACGAUAACCAUGUAGUGUAGCUGCUUGCUCGCAAAGUACCAAACUACUUGCUAGAACAUGAGACAUAUGGGCGGUAUGGGUCAUGGGGCUACUCCUUCACUACAGACUACACAGCAUGGCUGCUGCAGUUUGGCAGGCAUCAGCAGCUGCCUGUUGUUAACCUCUGACAUAAUCCUACGAGUACUCUGCAGAAAAAUAAUGCUUGAUCAGAUCUGACUAGUAUUGGACGUACGUCCAUUUCCUCCGGGAAACAAUUAUUGGCUGAUAAAGAAAACACGGCAUGGGGAUAUAUAUGUUCCCUCGAAGAGAACCCAGCUCAUUUUCUAGUGUGUACGAGUACAAUCGGUUUCAGAAAAACUGAAACCAAAAUGGAACCAGCUUUCUGACAUAGCCCAUAGGCAUCCCAUGUACUGUACUACACUUUCCUUUCCCUUUUCCACGCAAUUGUGAAUCACCUAAUGAAAGAUGGGAUGUCGCGUCCUCCUGACCCGGCUCCCCCGGCCUCCCUGCCAGCCGGCUCCACCACUCCGGCAUCGACUGCCUCCCACCCCGCCGGCUCCGCCCCUCUAGCACCGGCGGCUACAGCCCUGCCCUCCCCCCCUCUCCCUCCCCUUCUUCCCACCCCUCCUCGCGGUCGUUCCCCUUGCCCGGCCGGCUCCGGGAAUUGGCGCCUAGAUCCGUCGCCUCCGCGGCGACCCUGCUGGUAAGCGGACCGGCGGGCCUGCCGGUUGGCGGCACAGUGGGGCUACGGUGGGCCCCUCGUCGCCACCGUGGCGUCCCCCUCGCCCUUCACGCUGCCGUCCUUCCUCCUCUUCUCCCUCCACCCUCAGUCGUCUCCCCUUCCCCUCCCUCGGUUGCUCCUCCUUCCCGCCGCCCUCCACCUCGCCCCCUCCUUCUCCCUCCCCGUCCCGACAUCCUCUUCUUUGUCGAUGUCCUCCUUGACUUCCACAUCUCCGUUGUCCGUCCUCUCUCUCCCUCCUUGCCUCUUUCUCUGCCUACCACCCUCUAGGUUGUCCAUGGCGCUGGUACUCCCAUGCUAACUCUUCCUGGGUUGCAGCCGUCCUCACCUUCCUCCUCUCUUCACCCUCGAAUCGCUUCUCCGUGACUAAUCCUCUUCCCGGUGUGUUCUCCACCGCUGUCUCCAGCCUCGAGGCCGCCACCGCCGUCCUCUACCACCCGGACUCUCCUUCGGCGGCAUCCCCCUUGCAAUCCUCCCUUCCAAGUUGGCCGUCAUUCAACGGGUAUUUUUUCAAACCGGCAUUGAUUUCCGCCUCCCAGGUGGGUUGGCCCCUUCCGGGGCCCCUUGCCUUGAGGUCUCCACCCCUUUUGCCACCCCCACUGUCUCUUCGAGGCCCACGCCUGACUCCACCUCAUCAUCACCCGCUACUCCUUCCACCUCACCUCCCUCCUGUCCCAUCAAGUUUAAUGCUCUGUGCGCGGACGUCCACCCCGCCUCUCCCUCUGGCAUGGCCGCGCCUCCCCCCUCCCGCUCCGUCGGGCUCCCUGCCUACCCCCUCUACCGUAUCCCCUGCAGGGUUGUCACACUCGCCCUGCCCCCCCCCCCGCCUGCCCUGGUCUCUCCGAUGCGACUAGGCACUGUUGCUCCUUGUGGGCGCCUCUGCGAGCUCCGAUCGUUCACUGACACCGCCCACAUGCCACCUCGGAGUCCACGCCCUGCUCCCCUUGCUACUUCCGCUGCCUCUCGCGCGAUCACUCCUUUGUUGCGUGCUGGGAUCCUAUCCAGUGUUGUGGUUGUGGGCGCUCCGACCACCGCUUCUCCCGUUGCUCGCUCUGUCCCCGCCGCUCCGCAAGCAUGUCGGGCCACCCUCUGCCCAGCUGCCACCGCACGUUGUCUUCGCCACACCCCCCACCCCCUCCUCCCGUGGACUGCCCCUCGGAUCCAUGGGGGCCUUCGGAUAUGCGGCUACCCUCCCGACAUCGCCCCCUGCGCCACCUAGGGCGGCAUCACCACCCCCACCGGUGAACCCACCACUGGAGGUCGCAGUCACGCCACCCGUCGCGAAGCCUGACGGCUCUACCCUGGAGCCGGACGGGGUUACUGCCUCCGCGAUAGCCCCUGGCUCCUCCCCGUCAGCCUCCUCGGUGUCUUCCUCGCCCGCUAUUGGCAGCGACUUCGAGCCCUUCCGUGAUGACUAGCACGACGUCUUCAUGACUCUGGUGAACUGGGCUGCACUGGGGCAUUACGCCUAUGCGUUCGUCAGUCCGGACGCUCUCGACCCUGCCUCCAUUGUCCGCCGUGCGCUCCUCCUCGGCAACAUCCCCAACGAAGAGCUCCAUCCGAUCCUCUCCUCCGCGCGCGGCACUAGGGUCGUCGUCUUCAACUCCCCUACUGUCCGUGACACCACGGUCGAUGGUGAGGACUUGCUGGUUCUCAAGUUCAUCGUCCACUUCGAGCGCCCCAACGAGACGGAGUUCGAGGGGUCCUUUAAGCAUGGUGGCUAAACCACACUGGCCCUGGAGCGCUUCCUGGUCCAGCACUAGAACCGCGUAGAUAUCCACGUUGCCAUGGGUGUAGUGGCGAACCCAACGCAUAUCUCCCAGUUCUACCUUGCCGAGAUCAACUUUACCUCCAUCAUCAUCACCGCUAGGUAUGAGAGCUUCUCCAGCAUCCCCAAUAGCCUCUACCUCAAGGUUGAUUCCGACGCAUACUCCAUCGCGCACGUCUGCUGGCUGCGCGUUGGAGCGGGGGCCCGACUCCACUGAUGGCGCCCCUAAUGUCGACCCCAGUGCGGGUGCUGGUGGCGGUGGGAGGACCUCCGUCGCUUCCCCUCCCGCCAGCUGCGCGGCUGCUCCUUUAGGCUCUUCCCCAACGAUGGUUGCCUCUAGCAUUAGCAGCUCUGCACCCCGUGUGCGCGGUGCUGCCCUUGAUGGCAUCCCGGCGCCCGACCCUGCCCAGGUCGAACCUACGGAGGCAGUGCUCACCUGCCUGGAGUUCCCACGUCUCGUGUCCAUGAAAGCACCUGUGACUGCGAGGAACGUCUACCUCCUCCUUGUUAGUCCCAUGGGGGAGCUCGCCUACUUCAAGGUCCCCCGGUUGGUCCAGCCCGUCGGUGCUGUCGAUGUCCGUGGCAUCCCCUUGGUCAACCUCAUCUCCGGCUCCGUCAACAUCAUCCACCCCGUCGCUGUCACCCCCCGUGGGCCACAGGAGCUUGGCUACCAGGCCUAUGCUACUCCUCGCAUCUGUGACGUUGCGAUUGUCUGCAGCAUUGCGCACACCAUGGGUGCUGCCUCGGCUGCCGAGGCCGUCCCGGCUAUCGCAAAGCCCUCCCCACUCAUGGCUCCUUCUCCACAAGGGUGCGCGCGCGUGCUGCACCUGCUGCCGUACCCGUCCCACUACGCCCUCCCAGAGCGUGAGUGCGGGCCCUGGAGAACCCGCUGUGCGUGACGACGCUGCCCAGGGCGGAACACCUCAAGGCUGCCCACCUGGGUGGCGCUCCUGCGCACGUUCCCUCUACUUCGGCCCCCCUCAACACCCUCGAGUUUCGCGCUCUCGGUGCAGCCUGCGAUCUCAACGCGAUGGCUAUGGCUACGCUCGAUGCUGCGUGUGCGGCGGUGUCCAUCCAAGACACAUGUUAGCGAGCGUCAACACCGCCUACUCCAGCACUGGCCACGCCUCGUUCUGCCCCCCCUAGGUUGAGCCUCUUUUGUCUAUUUUUUGCUUCUCUGUCUCUGCUCCCUCGCCUGGUGCACCGCCUGCAUGCGGUCUUACCCGGCGUGCUUUUGUAAUCAGUGUUCAUGCUGUGCCAUGAAUAGAACUCGAUGUUUUCUUAUCUGUGGCUGGAAUGUUCAUGGACUAUGGGAUACUGAUAAGUGCCAGGACGUGAAGAACAACCUUGCCAAUCACGACCUCAGUGUUCUUUGCCUCCAAGAGACCAAACUGGCGGCACCAUCUCUGUUCAAGGCCACAAUCUCUCCCCCUUCCCCUCCCCCGGGGUCUCGUUCUUCAUCACCAAGGAUGCUGCGGAUGCCUCUGGUGGCAUUCUCAUGCCCUGAAACCCGUGUGCGGCGUUGCUCUCCCACUCUCUCCAGCUGCAGUUUUCUCUAACUUGUUUCUUCUUGGUAGCGGCGGAUGCCUAGCCGUUAGCAGUCACCAACGUCUAUGCCCCUUGCGAUGUUGCGUCCCGACCCUUCUUCUUCAAUGAGCUCGCGCAGCUGGCUGCGCAAUGUACGUGUCCCUGGCUAAUCCUAGGGGACUUCAACAUCGCUAGGGCACCUGAGGACAAGAACAAUGACCGAUUCGACGUCGCUGGUGCCACGCUCUUCAACGACGCGGUCGAUGCUCUGCUACUCCAAGAGCUGCCGCUGUUGGAUUGCUGUUUCACCUGGUCUAGCCAACGCGCCAUGCCAACUCUCGUGCACCUGGACUACGCCUUCAUCAAUGUGGCGUGGGGUGCGGCUCUGUUCAACUCUAUGCUCUACUCACCGCCGUGUCCCACCUCCGACCACGUGCCGCUGCUGGUCACCACCUCAUCGACGGCUCCGGUCUCCCAGGUCUUUCGGUACGAGAAGGCCUGGGGGCUCGACCUUACCUUCCGCGACCUCGUCUACGAGGUCUGGGACUACCCCCAGAACGCGGCUUGCGAGCCAACGACUUCCCUGGUGCGCUGCCUCAAGCGGACGCGUGUGGAAUGCAAGGAAUAGGCCUGUGCAAAGGCCCAGCCCAACGACAUCGUCACGGCCUGCACCCUCCUUAUCGAGCUCACUGAUCUCCUAGAGGAGGCGCGACCACUUACUGUGUCGGAAUUCACUCUCCGGCGGCUGGUGGUGGAGCGCCUAUCCCGCGUGGUCAAGGAGCUGGCGACUUACUAGAAGCAGCGCUACACCUUUCGUCUAUGCAAGCUCGGUGAUGAUAACACCGGGUUCUACCAUGCCUCCGCUUCCGCACGUCUCCGCGGCAACAAGAUCCAAGUGCUCCAUGAUGGUGGCACCUCGGUCUACAUGCACGCGGCCAAGGAACGCGUCCUGCACGACUUCUACUCCGCCCUCCUCGGGGCAGCGGUGGAAAUUGACCUGCCUCCUCCCAUCGCCAAUCUGCUCGACCCCGUUGCCAUUCUCUCCUCUCUCGAAGCACCCUUCCUGGCCUCAGAGGUCAAGGAAGCCCUCUGGCAAAUACGCACGGCCAGCAGCCCUGGGCCGGACGGUUUCGGCCCAGCCUUGUAUAGAGCGUUUCGGCCGGUCGUUGGGGAUGCCGUCUUGAUGUUCCUGGAUGCCUUCCACUGUGGUGACGUGUUACUAGAGUGGAUCAACCAAGCUCUCAUCAUCCUCCUGUCCAAGAAGCUGGACGUCACCACUGCUAAUGGGUUCCACCCCAUGAGUCUCCAAAACUGUGCGCCGAAGCUGGCUGCCAAGGUAUUCACCAACCGGCUGCAAGGGGUUGUGCCUAGCCUCAUCUCUAACCCGCAGAUAGGCUUCGAUGAGUGAUGGCGUCGAUGGAUGAGCACGCUGCUCACGACUAGGCGUGCCGCGGUGCUCCAGAAUGUCAUAUUUGGGUCGUGGAUUCCUUGCUGCCGGGGGCUGCGGCAAGGCGACCCCCUCAGCCCGUACCUCUUCAUCAUCAUCGCUGACCUCCUCUUCCGGAUGAUCACUGCCGCCGCUGCCUCCACCAUGCUCAAGCACCCGCUAGUGGAUGACUUGGAAUGUCCUGUCAUCCAAUACAUGGAUGACACCCUCAUCCUGAUCCGCGCGGAGGAGCUUCAAGUGCGCCUGCUCAAGCUGGUCCUCGACAUGUUUGCGGCAUCCACGGGCCUCACGAUCAACUUCUCCAAGAGCACAUUUGUGCCAAUCCACGUCAAGCCUGAGCACUCUACCCUGCUCGCCGGAAUCUUGGGCUGUGCGGUUGGCUGCUUCCACCAAACUUACCUGGGCCUCCCACUCUCCAACGCCAAGCUCCCUGCAUGCGUCCUUGACAAACUGGCCAUCCCCGUCAAGAGGUGUAUCCCAAGUUGGCGCGUGCAACUCCUCACGCGUGGUGGGUGCCUGAUCUUGGCCAAUGCGGUCAUGUAUCUGAAGCCGGUGUACGCCAUGGCGGUGAUCCGCCUACCUCUGUCCACCAUCGAGUGCAUUGACAAGCCCUGCUGAGGCAUGCUCUGGAAAGGUGCUCCACGUUGCUCUGGUGGGGAUUAAUAGGUCACUUGGACGAUGACGUGCAGGCUCAAGGAGGAGGAUGGCCUCGGCAUCAUCGACAUUGAAAUUUAGAACACCUGCCUCCUGCUCAAGGCACUGGACAAGCUCGUCAUGACCACAGUAACCCUUGGGCGGACUAGGUCAAGUUCUGGUACUCACCGGAAUGCCGCUCGCCUCCAACGUCCUUAUGGAUUGUCUUCCAAGUGCUACUCCCCCUCCACAGGGUGCUCACCGGCAUGGCACUCAGGUGGGGCGACUCUACCCUCUUCUGGCACGACAACUGGUCAUCGGCCGGGACGCUCGCUGUACUCCCACUGCACAGCGCCGGACAUCACAGUGGUUGCUGCGUUUCAGACCGAGGCGCUCUCCCUCCCCAUGCGACCACGCUUGAGCACCGCUACCGCUGCGGAGCUCUCUGCCCUUUGCAGCCGCCUUGACGGGCUCCGCCUUGGGGCUUUGGCGAACCGUUGUCACCUUCUCUGGGGGCAUAAAGGCGCCUUCCGCUCCGGGGCAGUGUACCGGAUGCUCAAGCGAACCGGGUGCGGCGCGCCGCUCGCGGAGGCCAAUUGGGACAACUUCGUGCCUGUCAAGGUGAGGGUCUUCUUUUGGAUCCUGCGCCACGAGAACACUCGCACUAGGAGCUUUCUUCAUCACCAUGGCGGGCUGGGGACUGACCUUUGUCCUACUGCCCCGACUCACUGGAAGACUUGGAACACCUCUUCUUCACCUGCCCCCACGUCGCUGCCUUCUGGGCUGCGGUCAGCCUUGGGAUGCCUCCUCAAGGACUGCACGAGCUGCACGACGCUGUCCCCCUGCCCUCCGAGAAGCUCUGCCACACAACUUCUCUGCUGCUGCUAUGGGUCAUCUGGAAUAGCCGCAACCGAAUGGUGUUCGACGGGGUGAACUAGGACUGCGCCGCCAUGGUGGCUAGCCUUGCGCGGCUAUGGGCCAUCAGGGCUCCCCAGCGGCUGGACCUCAACCCCUAGAUGAUUGGCUCUCCACCAUUUUUGUGUAAUUUUCGCUUUUGAGUGAUUUGCUCCCUCCCCCUUGUGUACUCCUAACGCGCCGCGUCACCGUUGUAAACACCAUCGGGGCUUGCCCCUAGUUAAUUUGAGUUCAGGUAGGCGAUCUCCGCCCACCGUUGCCGCCUAAAAAAUAUAAUGAAAGAUGGACAAUUCAGUUCAAAAGGUCUAAAAAGUCCCCGAUUGCAAGAUUCAGAUCACUUGAAUGCUCUGGCGCAUGCAGAGGCGGACAAGUCAGCUUGACACCUGUAUACCAUACUCAGUCCUAUGUCUAUUCACAGGUAACCCAGCUGACACACAAGUGAGGUGAGUGGACACCACCAUGAUACCAGCAGUAGCAGUGAUGGCUGCAACGUGGACACAUCAUUUUGCUGCAGGGCGGGCGAGGUCAUGGUCAUCAAGUGCCCCAGCAAUCAAGCAGCCAGGGAUGGAUGGAUCAUGGCGUCGGUCAUGGGUGGGGAGCGAGGAUUUCAGCUACCGCUGCAGCUGCGCCAUGGGAUGGCGGGCAGGCGCGAGCGAGCAUGAUGGAGGGGGACGAAGGGGCAGGGCAGGCGAGGCGAGGCGGCAGUGUCCACAGUCCAAGUGUGUGCCUGCCUGCUGCUGCAGGAAAAAGCUUUUCAUUCAGCUACGGUGGUCACUGCUCAUAAUUGCCUCGGGAUUCGGGACCAGCGGCGGUACGGCCACUUCUGUCUUAAUUCGUGGUAUUAAUGGAGCCCUUUUGAGAAAGCUUCUUCUUUUUUUAAAAAAGAAAACGAAAGAAAAAUCAGAAUCGCGGGCUAAUGAUUGGCAGUGGUCACUCUGUCACUGACAGGGCAACGCAUGGUGACUGAUUAUUGCUGACUGGAUGAUGGAAUUUGUUGCGAGCGCGACCGAUCAAAAGAUCGUAUGGCCGGCCCGGAGUGCAGAUCCAUCUGGGAAGCACAUAAUUUCAUCACAAUCUGAGAGGCUCUCACUCAGUGAGAGCAAUCUAGUUCUACGGGCAUCAAGUGUUUGUCUCCCAGUUUGGUGGUGGGUGGUUGAGGGUGUAUGGUAUAUGGACAAAGGAAGUGCACAAGAAACCCUGUGAGCCCGGCUGGCUGACGCUAGCAGCUCAAGCCUCAAGAUGCAGGGCACGGAGCCUCGAAUGCGGCAGGAGAAGGAACGGAGGAUACGACAGUGGUUAGUUGCGGCACGCAGGGCGGCGGAUGCGUCAUCGUCACCUCACCUGCGUGCACGUCCGAUCCGGCGCUGAGGCGCUAGCACUACACCAUUGUAGUAGGCGCCACACCGUCACCACUCACCGCGCAUGUGGUAGAGUAUGAAAUGCUGUGUAGAAUGGGUGGUAGCGUACGACACGGAGUGGCUUCGAUAAACCGAUGGACAUCGAUCCGUCUAGCAGGCAUAGGAAGCAUUUUUCUUUGUAGCAUGGCUAGCCGACCUCUGCCCUUCAACUUUUAGUGCCCUUUUCACUCUAUAAAAAAGGUUGAUGACGCCGCCUGAAAAGGCUAAUGCCAAACAACUGCUGAGCUGAGCUGAGCAUCACAUCACUUGGUUCGAUCUCUUUGCAUAACAAAAAAUCACUUGCUUUGAUGUAUCUAUCAUGCAUGGUUCCAAUUCACAUACCAAAAGCUACACGGACAUGUCAAGCUAACCACACCUUAAUAGUUCCAAUCCUGUGUACGAAGUUGCCUGCCUGAUCGCCUCACUAAAUCACGUGCGUGAUGGAAUGAUCGGUUCUGAUUGAAUCAGACACUUGCGUGCGUGCAUGUCACUGUCACGUCACGUUCUGUACGACUGUACUGUAUCGUCCUAGGUUCCUUGACAGGAGAGGUUGGUUAGCGAGCGGUUUGCUCGUGCCAUCACGCAACAGACGGGGGUGCAGCAGCAGUGACCUGUAACCCUCACCUAACCUCGAGGCUCGAGACAAGACGACGCUGCUUGCUUCUCCGCGAAGUGCGAUGAACCACUCCACCCCAUCGCUCGGCAAUAUAAUUUUCAGCCUAGGAUUAGCGAUCACUAGGAGCAAUGUAAUCUUUCCUUUGAUCUCAAGCAACCCAUCUCGUUUCAAUCAAUCACGGCUCCACGAGGCCAGGUUUCCCGGGACGACGAUUGCCUGGGCAAACCGGCAACAAGAGCAGGGUGGUUUUGUACGGGGAAAUCGGGACAAAAGAAUAAACACUUCCUCUUUGUAAAACGUAUGAUAAAACGUUUUGGUUUUGUUCUAAUUGAUCAAGUCAUCAAUCGUCUUGCAUCUUGGAUAACAGGAGCAGAGCGUGCACGGCCGGCGUCACGUGCCGCGGUGACCGCCGGAAACAGCAACCUGGCCCUGGCGGCCUGCAGUGAAGGGAGCUGACUGGACAGUCCGGUGCAGCUGCAGUAACCCGCCACACUGAAUCCUCAUCAUCAAGCCCAUUCAUUCCAUUCCAUCUGCUCGCCACAAAGAGCGGCCGGAUCAUUUGAUCACAUUUCCUCUCCCAAGUCCCAACUCGCGUCGCGUCAUCUUUGCUUCUUCCGGUCCUUGUCUACACGCACGAAAGACGAGCCAGAACCUACGACGACGACCCUGACAGGCUCACAGAAUGACAAGGUUUCAGCGGCGCGCAGUUCUCCAAAGUUUCCUGUGACGCGGCCGGGUACGUGCGUGACAGCGUUUUCCACGGCGGAAGGCGUACGAGAUUUUGAAUGGACGAUGCAUCCUCUCGCGUCGCCGUGGUACUGGAGGGGGGCUGCAUCGUCACUGUGGGGGAGUAAUGGGACGGCCGGGGGCCGGGUGCCGGGGCAGCCCAGUAGUAAUGGGUGCCGAUGACUCACACGGCGGUCACACCCAUGUCCAUCCAUGGCUACACCACAAUGAAUAAUGGCAUGGCGUGCACGCAUGGGGAGAGCGCUGUGCUGUGCUGCCGAUCGAGUGCCCGGGCGGGACAAAAACCAAACAUGAUGGCGUUCAGGCUUUCAGUUGAGGGGAGAGCGUUCAGGUUCAGUUCAGGGCUUGGGCAUCGACGCAUUCACGCGCCCGGGCCUUCACGUGCCGCGCCCGCGCAUCAUUGGGACAGGGGUGUCGGCCUGCCAUGGCAAAUUGACAACGACGCGAAUCAUGACUGCCUCUGCCUUCAUGUGAUGCGUGUGCUGCUGCCUGUUGUUGCCCCUGCCGCUACCGAACAUGGUCUUGGCUCGGCAUCAGUCAACACUCACAGGAAUAGCACGAGAUACCACACGCAUCCUGCCAGAUUCCAGCAUUUUCCUACGCAUCCAACGAGAUUCCAGCAUUUUGACAUUUAGAGAUAUUGCGGCAAUCACCCACGUCACAUCAUCCACAGAAGGUAAUCACUGGCUUAUGCAGUAAAAAGAAUGACAUCAAAAUGCUGAAUUUGGUGGAACAGGCCAUUCAACAUACCCACGUACGGUAACAAACCUAAAAAGAACCAGAACUGUACUAGAUCAAAAAUCAAAACAACAGCAACAUGAGCAAAUGUUAUCACAGCACCAGGUCACGCCCCGGCAAGCUUUGACCGAGGGUUGCUCAUCCUAUCACAAUCAGCCACUCGUACAUUUGGAAAUGGAAUGGAUCCUCUCAAGGGGAAAAGGCACAAUUAUUCACUGCCUUUUUUGCUUGUAUACUUCCUCUUCUACUAUAAUGUUACAAAUUGGACAACAGGCACCGCCUCAUCCCAAACAUUAUCAUCUCCAAUAGGAUUAGAAUCUGUACAAACUACCCUACCCUUUUACAACAAUUCACUUGGGGUCAAAUGAUUAAAUGGAGGGCCUAGCUGCUCCGCUUCCCACAACCACCGCUCGUGUUAUUCUCUGACUGAUUCUUCCUUGCUCCUGUGCUCCACUUGUUGAGUUACGAAUGUCUGUCGGCUAUCUGAUGAUUCAGCAUUGGGCCCGGAGAAGCAGUAUUCAACUCAUGCCUGUGUCACAGAUCACAGUACUAGGGCAAACUAUGUCAAUGACUACUGCUGUGCUCAUAGCUGCAAAGCCAGAUCAGGAUGCUUUGGAUUCACUAACUUCCCCUUAGGCAGGGAACCUGAUGACUGGACACCAGCGUUCAAGCUUGGGUGAGCAGAACUAUUAUCAUUCACAAUCUUUGGAUCAUGACUUGCACCUUGCACAGGGUUGACUGUCGCCUUUCCAACAUCUCCAUUCUGUGCUGCUUUAAGACUAUCAGCAGUUAGUUGGUGGCCAUGGAUAUAGCCGUUGGCUUUACCAUUCAUUCCAGAAAACAUCCCAAGCACCUGAGCAUGUGUCAUAGGAAUGCCUGAUCCAAAUAACCCGUGUCCAGCAAAUUGACUCAUGGCGUUUGACACAGCGGAGAAGCCAUUGAUAUUAGAGUGGAUUUCUCGACUGUGGCUGUGGUGCUGCAAUGGAGGCGCUGGUCCAGUAUUAUCUAUACCACCACAUGACUUGUUAGCUCCAUUCUCAUGCUUGAUUACUUUACUGGCAAUUUCAGAGCUCUUAUCAAAGCUUGCUGAUGUAGAAGGUACUGUUUGAGUUCUAGUUAGAUGCUCCUCACCAGUAACAGCCCCAUUUGAAGACGGUCCAGACUUGUGAUGGAGGACAUCAAUCUUGGAUGGCAUGUUGGGUGGAGCAGUGGACUCAGAGGGAUUGGUGGAUGUGACAACAGGAGGCCACUGGGAGUUUUGGGGUGGCUCACCAUCUACAAUCCAUCCUGGACCAAAAUUUGUCCCAGGGGGUAGUGCCCUUCUGAUACGAUUCGCUGCUAUAUCCCAGCCAACUGGGCCCAAUUUUGCUGCGAACCGCGCCAAGCUCCUAGCAUAUGCAUGUUGCUGCUGAACCCCUACCUGGUUCACGCAAUAAGAAGGAAAAAAACAAAUAGACUAGAAAUAUUAGCAUAGCAAGUUCCAGUCAGCAUAGAUGAUUAAAGCAGUGGUUGCAAUGAUCAACUACAGUUAAGUUAGUAGGGUUUACACAAAGUCAACCUAUAACCAAAUUUGUGAAUUCUUCAAAAUAAACUGUAUCUGGUUAGGAUGUGCUUACUGGCACCAGUAGUUUCCUCUCAUCAUCAAAGGCGCCAAACAGAGAGCUAUUACGUGAGUAAUGCUGAUCAUACGUACUCCGGCGGUCGUCAUCUAAACUAGGGGGUUUCUUCCCCCACUUUGAUGAACCUAGAAGAUUUAUAUAAGUCAUGUUUGUCAAUCAGAUGUCUAGCACCGUACUGAACAUUUAUUAGUAGAAGUAAGAACUAACCUGAAUAAUCACCGAUUUUAUCUGUUCUUUUUGCACUAAAGGAACCAAACAUACUGUGAAAAGUGGAUGGAUCUUUCAAUGGGGUAGUAUUUCGAGUUCUGUCUCCAGUAGAUCUUUUUCUUAUUGUAUCAGCAUUGUCUUCAGGUUUAUUUGUUUUUACAUUGGAUAGAUCUGGUGACACAUCAUCCUCUGUCUUUGGAUUCUUUGGUGGCCUGCCUCUUCGAGCUGGUGGCUUGGGUUCUUCUUCUUCAUCGCUAGGUUGCCUCAAGUUUUCAAAAUCCUUUUUGGCAAGAGCUUCAAUAGAUCGUGCCUAAAAGAUUAUUGAAUAUUUCAGGUAAGUAGAUGGCUAGAAGAUAAUAAGGUAUCAGCAACUUGUCCACAAUGCAGAAACAUUCAAGGGAUAAGGAACUGAGCUGCCUAUAUAUGUGGAUGUAUCAGUAUAUUUUCCAUUGCAAAAGAUAUAUGGUGUCUUCUAUAAUAGUAAAGCAUGUUGUUGGAGGAGACAUGCCAAGGAAAAUAGCCAACUUGAUACACAGUUUCUAUAGAUUUAUUGGAAGAAAUCAAGUAACCCUUUAAUAUCCAAGACUUAAAAACAGUUUCCAAGUUAGUACGUCAAAAGGAAUAAACGCACUAGCAAUCACAGACAUAAACAAUUACAGUAAGAACACAAAAAGCGCACAUGGUUUUUGCAAACAUACAUGCAAAUUUGCAUGUCCCUGCAAAACUGAAAGAAAACUCAGAAACUCAGAACAAGUUUCACACUUAACAUAUAUUCUGAAGAACAAAACUACCAAAAAACAUACAUGAUCCAGAAAAUAUAGCAGUGCAUGCGACAAGGUGGUUAUAUAUAUAUAAUAUAAUAAUAAACAGUACAUGCACUAUAAAAAUUACCUGCCGGAAGUAGAUUGUGUCGGCUGAAUUGUAAGACAUAGCAUUUGACGUAAGUAGAAAUACAUCAUCCUGCACAAACAGAAAAACAUAAAAUGUCAAAAGAUCCACGUUACUGAACCACAAAUAGUACUCCAUUAUGACUUGAUUUCUACAAAGCUUGCAAUCAAAUACUUAAUCUUUGGUUUAACACAUAUAUGGAGAAAAAAUUCCAGUGUUUCUAUGGGAAAUUAAACACAUCAAUUUUAGAACACCCCAGUGCACUUGGUAUUCUCAAAACCCACAACAUGCGUGACAUCCUGCAUUUAGAAAAUGGAAUUCAACAAAGCAACAACACGCCAUUUGGUGUAACCCUAUGUCAAGGGAUGAACUUGGCAAUUACAAAGAGCAAAUGUUUCCAUAUCCGCUGAAGCCAAGAUAUCAGUACUGUAUAUAAAGUUAAGUAUAUGCAAGAAGCACAGUGCCACUUUGGAUAAGAAAAGUUCUUGAGUACUGAUACUUCUUAUUAAAGCAGCUGGUUUAUUGGCAUAGCAACUAGUUCUGGGAUUAUUAUUCAUAAGUGUCUUGGACUAAUUAUUCCAAUGAAAUUUCACUUUAGCAAGCUAGGCAUCCAGCCUAUGUUAGAACUACCCUUGAGUGAUGAAUAGAUCCAACUGAUUAUCUACGAAUGACUACUACUAUCAUCAUCAUACAGUAUAAACUAAGCUGGAGUUUGACGAAUUAAUACUGUAUUGGAUCUGGAAUAGGUCAAGAUCAUUUAGUUCAAUGGAAUUCUUUUUUUAUCUCAGAAUGGUGCAAGACAAUCAUUAUACCACAACCUAGGAAGUCUCUACAUGCCAAUCCAAAAGGUACCUUUCAUUAAGGACAUUAACUCAUAUGGUACGAGCCCAGUUUGGCCCCUGGUAAAAACAGCAACAACUACAGAAAAUUAACAUAGAGAUAUAAUGUAGCGCAUGUUACUCAAGAAUUUCUUGUCUGGUGCAGAAAGCAAACAACUGGCGUAUUCUAUUAACAAUACCAAAAAGCAGUAUCAAUUUCCUCACAAGGGAUUAAUGAAAGAUAGACACGUGAAAUAAUAUCAACUAAACACUAGUUCAUUAUACACGAGAUUAAAUUGGAAAGAACACAAGAUUGUACAAGAAAACUACAGAGACAUUGUUAAACCAGUGAAUUGGACAGCAAAAUACGGCAGUAAAGCACAGCAGAUUCUAUCAAACAUUAGUUAAAUCAAAGAUUCAAAUGAAAGCCGGCUACACAAAACAGAGACGUCAACCAAACCUACGAUAGUGGAACCAGUAAACAGUCACGCAGCAUACCUCAAACUGCUCCAAGUUAGAAUAGGAGUCAUUCAACAGCUUCUCACGGAUUGUUGAGAAAUCCAUUGGAUGCUCAAUAAUCUCAUGGUAAUCUGGAAGCUGGAGGAGGAACACACAAAAUGCCAGCAUUAGCAACAGAGUUCCCAUCUGAAAACACAACAGAACCACACCUCCAUUACUCACCUCCUCUGGGUCGACAGGCUCUGAGAAAACUCCAUAAGUAUCCUUCCUGAGAGCAGUGCAAGGUAGACAGAUAAACACACAUAACCGAAGCAAUCCUUAUUGGACGAGAAUUACAUCAGGAUGGGGCCAGGGCACUCACUUCUGGAGCCUAUCGAGGAUGAAGAGCAGCAACUUUUUGUCUGGGAGGGGCGUCCCCGUGGGCCCACCGCCAUCCAACGCAGCAAGCCCUACUCCCACAAACGCAAGAAACGUUAACCAACGAAAAAUUCAAAUCCCUGAACCACUUCAACGCUAAUGCUUUUGCUUCCCUCCAAGUCUUACCUUUCCCCGUCGCUUUCGCUGCGUCCUUCUUUCCCUCCCCCGGCUCCUCCUGCAGCAUCAAAGAACCGAAACAGCAACCAUCAGAACAGAAAUCCACCACAACAAACACAUUCAUGCAUGACGAUUUCGCUUCAAAGCGUCACUAUCCCGUCAUGUAGUGGGAAUUGCAGCAAAAAUCAAGUGUUGCAGCAAGCUCCGCACUGAAAGCGACGACUUUUUUCUGCCUCUCGCAGUCCGGACAGUGCUUACAACCCAUCAAUAGGAGAAAAAGGAGGUCAAAUGCGUCAAGGCUUGUCAGAUCCGCUUACUGUUCCCUUCAAAGGAAAGGAUUAAAGCGCUGACGAGGGUCAAGAUCCCUAGACUGGCCGGACUCCAGAGGCCCCAAAAAGAAUUCCAAACCCGCCCAAAAAAGCAACGCCCUCCAAGAAGCAAAAAUCCCCAACCGCCACUAUCAGAGCUCCACUGAUCCCCGCUAGAUUCCCCACCACGGAGGCGAGCCGUACCACAAAACACCCCCCCCCCCCCAAAAAAAAUCCCGAGCCCGCAGAUCCAACCACUACGGCUCCGCAUCGCCGCGUGUCCCGCGGGCAAAACCCCCUCGGGGAGGUCCCCAAACCCCGGAAUUUUCGAAAAAUUGGCGCGAGAGAGGGAGGCCCCCGACCUUGACGACGCCGGAGAGGACGCUCUUGAGGCGCUUCUGCCGCCGCCGCCCGCUCCCGGCCCCGUCCUCAUCGUCGUCGGAGGGGUUGGGGUCCCUGCGGGAGGGUGAGGGGGCGGGGCUAGGGUUUUGGGCCUGGAGGCGGAGGCUGCGGCGCUGGAGGUCGAGGAGGGAGGGGCGGCCCUUCUUCUUGCGCCGCCGCUGCGGGGAUGGCGUCUCUGCGGGGGGCGGCGGGGGCGGGGGCGGGGGCGGUGGUGGGGGAGGGGGCUUGCGGGUCUUCGCCAUCGGAGUCCGGCAGGCCCGCGACGGCGGCGACGGCAGCGGCGGCGGCGGCGCGGCGAGGCGCGGGCGGGGGGGAGGAGGUGGUGGUGGUGUGAUGGCCUGGGAACGGGUCGGGGUGCGUGUGGCUUUGCGUGCGUUUGGUAUUUUUUUCCUGGGGCCUUUCGGUUUGCGUCGGGCGGCUCGGCUCUUGCGGGGCCCGCCGUUUCCUGACCUGUGGGGCGGAGCUGUGUGUGGCCCCAUAUGUCAGCGAGACGGGAUAAAGGUAUCCGUGUUAUUGGGUUCGGAUCGGCCGGCCGCGGGAGCGUUUGGUGGGGGUGGGACCGGGCUCGUGUGUGUCGUGGGCGGAUCCGAUUGGUGGGUGCCCCCCAGGUCGUGUGGGUGGUUGUUUUCUAGUUGGAAUAGGAGGCCGUGUGACCCACCUGCCAGUCACAUAGGAGUUCCCUUCGGUUGUGUUUCCCGCAAUUCUUACAUCGAAUCACUGUAUCGGACCUUCCAAAAAAAAAAACUGUACCCUACCGUUUUGAAAAGGCUAAUCGAUCUUUUGAGCCAAGUAAUAUUUUUACGUGAUCUGUGGAUAAAUUGUCAACUUAUGAGGAACAUGGGAUGCAAGGACAUGUUGUAGCACAAUAAUAAGUGACACGAUAAAGCACAAACAUCCUUUGUAUAGUGUUUACUGUUUAGCAUGGAGGAGGCGGGCUCAUUUUCCUUUUUUCUGAGAGGGAGGAGGUUACAUGCAUGUUUUGUAGGCUGAGAAAUCGCCAUAGAAUGUCAUGGCAUGAAUUCUGAAAAAAAAAAAGGGUCCUCACAUCAAGCAAUCAAGAGCGGUGACCCAAGUUUGAGGCCCGUGUGGAUUGACAGAUCCCCAAUCAAUCAGGAGAUAAUGGCGUAUCCAGCUCGUUGUAGUCCUCCAUUACCAUAGGAUGCAUCAUGCAAGGAUAUUGCAGCCAUGCCCGUUUCAGGGUGACCUAUUUCUCACGGACAGAAGGUUCAACAUUUUCUUGACAGAAUAUUCCCUAGGUCCGCAUCAAGAUAAUCAAUAAUAAAUUUAUAGAGAAAAAAUAACACCAAUAACAGUAAUAGAGUUUGGGCUCAGCUUGUUUACAUCGGCUCAAGCCCAGUGGAGAAUCGAGCCCAUCAAGCCCACGUGAACAACUUGCGCCUUCACGCUAUGGUCACGUAAAGCAAUGAACACGGCUAUGGUUUCCGUCUCUUGCUGUGCGUAGGAUCACAGAACUCGAAAGCGCGGCGCCUCCCGCCUCGCCGCUCGCUCCCGCCGCCGCCUGCCUCACCGGUCCCAUGGCCGGCGCGCCGUCGAGGUGCCUCUUCGUCACUGGCCCGCCGGUAAGCCCCUAACCUCUCACAGAACCCUCCUCCCUCUCUCCCCAACAGCUACCUCACGGCCUGGGUGGUGCUCGCAGGGCGUGGGGAAGACGACGUUGGUCAUGCGGGUGUUCGAAGCCCUCAGGGCCUCCCACCCGAACCUCACCAUUCGCGGCUUCUAUACCCGUACUGCGUUACCUAGCCCUCUAGAACUUCGAUUCGUUCCUCUGCGCAGUUGGCGACCAGAAAUUUCACCAGUUUUUGUGUGUCAUCUGUUUGCAGGGGAGGUGAGGGAGAGUGGGGAAAGGGUAGGGUUCGAGGUUGUCACGCUCGAUGGCCGAAGUGGACCGCUCGCCUCAUCCAAGGUUUCCAGGUGGGGUUCACCUUGCUAUUACGCUUCUUCUGGUUUCAUUUGUUUAUAGGUACUGUGCAUUUGGGUAAUUGGGAUUUUGUAAUGUGUCGGUGCUAUGGAAAUUAUCUGAUACUAUGGAUUAGUAGUCUAAUUGUUCAAGCCGUCAAUAAUGACUGUCGACAAGAAAUAUUGCAUUGUUGUGGAUCUAUACAAAUAGCCCAACAUCUAGUGUGAGAUUGCUUCCCUGCAAUUCUAGUUACACUGCUCAAUUCUAAUUGAAAGUCCCUUCCCAACGUGCCAGCAAGAAGUAAUGGCCAUGCUUGGAUGACCUAAACCCAUCUUUGGUGAUGAUUGGAAAAUGGUUCAUCUUCUCUAUUACGCAGAUUUUCAAGCCACCUGUACUAGUCUGUGGCUCUGUGCUCAUGUGUAACACUAUAUGUCCCUUUUGGUUAAAAACACACACUCCAUCUGCCCAUAGACUUUCCAUCGUUGGAUGAACUUGAGUUUUCCAGUUCCUGUUGUCAUACUUCCAUCCUGCACGUACCAGUUAGACCUAUUGUUGCAUCUUUGCCCCUCUACUAAUAUUUAACUAUCACAUCACUGCAUGGCUGCCAUUGCUUAUUUUCGCAAUACUGCUUUGAUGUAUGUCUGGUAUUUUGUUAACCUAGAUGUGUUCACACAUACCAUCAUAUUUUUUUGGUCUUUUGAAGCCUCACCCAGAGGUUUCCAGGUCAGGCUCACCUUGCUAUUAUGUCUGUUCUGAUUUCAUUUGCUUAGCACCAUGCAUUUGGGUAACUGAAAUUAUUAAAUGCAUCACUACUGUGGAAGUUAUCUGAUACUACGGAGCAGUAGACUAAUUGUGCAAGCCUUCAAGAUCAGGUACUACUACUGUACUGCAUUGCUCUGCAUUCAAGCAAAUAGAUGAACAUCUUGAGAUUGCUUACCUGCAAUUAUAGUUGCAAUUUAGCGCUCAAUUUUAAAUGAAGGACCCUUUCUAGUGCACCGUUGCCAAGUGAUGGCCUUGCUCGAAUGACUUAAAUCUGUCUUUGUUGAUGAUUGGAGAAUGGUGCAUCUUGUCUAAUACACAGUUCGCCUGGCUAAUUAUGCUGGUUUGUGCUCAUGUAUAACACUAUAUGUCACAUAAUUUUCCAUUGUUGAAUGAACUUUGAAUUUGUCAGUUCCUGUUGUGACAGUUUAAUGUGUCAGUUACCUCUUUGCCCAUGUAAUAAUUUUGAACCAUCACGGUGCUGCACAUCUGCCAUUACUUAUUUCCUCAAAUACCACUUUGAUGUAUGGGUGCUGAAUUCUUUUAUCUUAGAUAUGUAAAAACAAACCAUCAAAGUCUUGGUUAUUUUUGCAGCCCAGAGUCUGUUCGAUGGCCUACUGUUGGGAAAUACAAAGUAGAUGUAGCAUCUUUGGAAUCGCUAGCAUUACCUGAGCUGCAGGUAAGCAAUUCUGAGUUAUGAAAUCUCAAGGGUCUCAUUCAUGUGUUGUUGUUAGCUUAUGCAUGAUAAAGUUUUGGAAGUUUGUUGUUGAUUGAUUAUGAUGCAAAAGGUAAUUUACUAAAUAUUUCUUGUUGAAAUAUCAGGUCAAGGAAGACACAGAUCUCUUCAUCAUUGAUGAAGUGGGUAAGAUGGAGUUGUUCAGUUCAGCAUUUUUCCCUGCUGUAAUGAGAGUUGUUGAAUCCAAUAUACCAGUGUUGGCCACCAUACCGAUUCCUAGAAAUGGCCAAGACAUUCCAGGAGGUACCAUGUUAUCCUGUUUCGCAACUUUGCAGAGGCUACUGAUUGAUAUUAUUGCUAUGCCGUACAAAAUAUUGCAGUAAAUACCAUUUCCUUGGUUGACAAGCCAAUUCAUUAAUGUAUUUGAGGAAGCUGUGUUCAUGUACAUGUUUAAAGCUUGCUAGCUAUGCUAUGUUAUGCAUUCAAUAAAUUAAUUGAUAUGUCAUACUGAAAUACUAUCCCAGUUUUUUCUUCAAAGUUAGUUGCAAGUCCUGAUUCUGACCAUGGUUUGCCCCUGGAGUUCUCAUUGAAUAUUUUUCCUGUAAAAUGCAGUUGCUAGGUUGCGGAAUCAUCCUGGAGCUGCUAUUUUCACCUUAAAUACUGGUAACAGGGAUACGAUGAGAGAAACUAUCUACAAUCAGUUAAGCAGUUUGUUGCAGAAGAGGUGAUUUGCUAACCACCCUAUGUGCCCUCAUUUUGUUAGUCUGACAUAAGGCAUAAAAAAAGUUUUCUUCUAUGCAAAAUCUAAAGUAGAAGUUUUCUUUCAGUACUUGUUCCAUAUAGCCUAUGAUAGAACGUAUGGUCAAGUCUUAUGGUGUUGUACCUGAAAUACCUUUUUCCAAGUUUACCGACCAAUGAGAAGACAGUCAGAUUACUAUGUUGUUGCGCUUUACUGGUCAAAUCUGAAUGUACAAGAAGCAUGUUGUUCAGUUUUUCUUAGUUCUGUGUGUGGUUAUUUAAUCAUGUAUUCACAUUCACCUAGUCAAGGUUUUAUCAUCACAACAGCUCUCUCUUGUCUGGAUGCAUUUAGCAUGUAGUGACUUCUACAACAAGUAUCACAUACUUUGCGCUACUAAUUUGCUAAUGUGCCUGCCUGCAUAUUUUGGGCCCAUGAUGACUCCAGCUUGGUUUGGCAGCCCCAUUCUAACUUAAUUAUUGCUGUAGUUCUUACCCUCAUUUUGUCUUUUAAAGAUGACCAAUUAGCUGAAAUUUGCCGUAGUUCUUACCCUCAUCUUGUCUAUGAGAGAUGACCAAGUAGCCGAAAUGGCAAUCAAGUUGGAUAGUAAUAAUGAUUGAGGCUUUAGACAUUUUUAACCAACACUUGUGAGUUGUGACGUUUCCUUGUUAGAGUGUAUGUUCACCAAUGCUAACUGUUACUGAACUAUGACUUGUGAUAGGUAGUUUAGUGCAAAUGAUACAUGUAAUCUUAUGGGUCACGGCGCAUUUGAUUCUCUUGAGGAUGUCUAACCCAUAAUAAAUUCCUGAAGUGUUAAAUGAUGAUGAAUGAAGAUCAAAUUUCUGUAUCAGUAGGCAGCUAUGCACAAUGAUGAAACCUAUCAAUAAAAGCGAGUUGGAAAUUGAAUAGACUUCUUGAUGUCAUGAUACAAUGCACAAAAGAACCACUGCAUAGGUGUGAUUUGGCUGACAAAGGAGGUUUUCUCAAUCCCCUCUCCGUUUCUUCCAGCAUUUUGGACCACUGCUGCUAAGACACCUCAUAAUGGAGUAGGGCAUAUCCUAGAAGCAAGCAGCGACUUCACAUGACACAUGUUCCUAUGGGGGACUCUUGAUCUGAAUGAUCGCAGGGAAUUUUCACCCAAAGAGGCACAAUCUUUUGAUUGAGGUGGGCACAGAAUUAAAGCGUGGUGUACUGAUCAUGACACCCCUUUACAACCCACCGAGCCCCAUGCCCCCUUUGAGCCCGUCCGGGAAGAUGCCAUUAAACGCCAACGCUGUGAGUUUUGGUAACCUUAGAAAAUGGCAAGUGAGGCCAGGACCAUCUGAGCAGAGUUUUCAGUUUUAAGAACUGAAAGCUCCUUUAAACUUGUUGACAAUGUUUAGUUGAAGGCAGAAAGUGCAAGGCAAUCUCUCAGGAGAUACGAUACUCUGUUUUUGUCUAAAUAUAUUAAUGCUUAGGCGUGCACAAUAUAUAAAUGCAGACUUUUAGCUGCAGAUUAUCCUGUUUGUAAGCUGGAGCUGGAACCAGUGAAGAACUUCAAGGAAAUACACAUGCAGAUUUGUUGAUCCUCUACUUCAUAACUGGAAACCUGUUCUUUUGUGUUCGUAGCCCUUGAAAUGAUUCUUGAUAGAGACAUAGAGUGACUAGUCAUUUGAGAGGGAAAAGAAAACAGUUGUCGAGUGACAAGACCACAAGACUCAUAAACAGUUGCUCAUUUUCGUGUUUGGUCUGAAACGUUCAUACUGUUGAGCUUCCGAGGAAAUCUCGGGCUUUCUGAGAGGACAGCCUUGCUGGCUUGCCGAUGACCUCAGUGCCCUUGCCUCGCUUUAGGCAGUGCCAGUGUGGGGUGUGGAACUGAAAUUGCUGAAUGGUAUUGAUUCGGUGGCAGCCCCACCAUGUGAUCUCUUCAUGCCGGAGGGGCCUCUGGUUAACUUGUUUAAUCCUGGAUGCAUAAUUUUCCCUCCUCCAAUGCAAGUUUAGUUUAGCGCUGAGCCGCCGAGGAAUGAUGGCCGUGCAUGAACGCAUGCCAGUUGAUAUCACUUGCCGGAUUUAAGAACGGAAAGAGGCAUUGAUCCUCCUACCGAAAGCUUGCGCCGUGCCCCGUGCACUUUUAUGCUUCCACAGGAAUGAUGUUCGGUUGGUGUCCCGGAGAACUCCAACAUCAGGCAUGCUCGAUGCUUUUACCUUACCAUGAGUAAUUGGUGCCUCCCUCAUUGCAUGGUAUACGCACUGCAUGUUCGGUGGCGUAUCCCUGUGGUUCUUCACACGCCGUUUCAUAGUUCAGUUUCUUUUUGGGUACCGGUACGCCAUACUGGACGGAGGGAGCACUGGGGCCAGCCGGUAAGGAAUAUGCAUAAGUCCGUCAGGCACCGGUUGCAGUUGGCAGUUUGGUGAGACGACAUGCGCAGAGACAUGGCGUUACGAACCAAUAAUACAGUGGCCAUCUGAUCUGGGGCUCUCGUUCGCGAUGUCGCCUGUCAUCUCUUCUGAAUUCUGAUAGCUAGCGGCAACUAACCAGCCCUCCCCGGCCAAGCCAACGAGAAGCCAGCCGCGCCGCACGACACGGGGAAAAAACAAGCGGCGGCAGGCCGCAGCAGUUGUUGGCCGGGGUCAAGGCGCAUGUGCGUGUGCGUGCGUGCAGGACGUCAUCAACAUUCCAUCCCCGAUCACGCCCAGAUCCCACACACACAUCACGCGUCGCUCUCGGCGCCCCGCGCGACACCGCCCCGGCAAUCCUUACGGGCCGGGCGUACCCCCGCCAUUGAUGUGCCGUGCCCGCCGCCCAGAAAACACACCCGGUCCCGGAGCCAUUUGGGGUGUUCCUCCUGGAAAUAUACAUACACGCGCGAGUUGCAUCAUCAAUAAUGGGGUUAUUAUGUAGACGUAGUCGUUAAGUCGUGUACAUGCAUGCUUGUUCUUGUUUAGUAUAAUUUGUGCAGCAGCUGCUGAUGAUUGAUGGAGCCGGCAUAGAUAUAUGAAUUUUUUUUUGAACCAGAAUUUUUCAAAGCCAUGCAAAAAAAAAUUGAAAUGUUCGUAGACCUCACAGAUUUUCUGUUCAAAACCUCUUUUGUUGUGCUGUUAAGUUAAGCCUAGAGAACAGGUGCUAAACUAGCCAGGACUGAGCCAGCCAUACCGCUUAAGUACACCAUUAUCUAUUGCAAAUGUAAUCCGCACACAUUUAAUAUAUUUUUUUUAAAGAAAAAAAAAGAGGAUGAGACAGCAGCUUCGGCAUUUCAUCAGCACUGGUUUCAGUUGGAUAGGAUUGUUCUGGUACAGUUGGGGUGCAUCAAGUGAUUCUCCUGUGUAAUAAUACUACAAAAGAAACUACUACUUAACGAGGGAACAUCUCAUCCGAUUCGCACAUGAUGGUGACCAACACAGGUUGCGACUGCGAUCCGUGCCCCCGGAACGGCCGGUUAUCAGGAACGGCGCCAAAUGGAGCUGCCCCCGUGCGUUCGAGAGCAGGAAAAGAUCAACCGAAGCGUGUGGCGCACCAACUAGAGUCCUCGCACAACCGAGCUGUCCCCAGCCUAAAAUACUAUCAAGAGCCCUCUCUGUCUCUCUGGCCUCAUUUACCUGGCUCCUGCUACAGAAUCUUCCUCACUGGAUGGGCCUCAUUUACCUGGCUGCUCCUUCCCUGCAAAACCUUUCUCGUUUUAACCUCUCCUCUCCUGAUAGUAAAGCAGUUAAUUCUUCACCAACCGUCCAGCCCAGAAGGGAGUCAAAGUCAAGUAGUCAACCACUGGACAGUUCAUCAUCUUUUCAUUUUUUACCAUAACGGUAACAACUUAACGAUGGCCAAUGAGAAAUGUUUCAUCAUACUACAUUGUUACAUGUACAUGCAUGCUGGCUAAUCUGUUGAAAACUACUCUAGUUGCAACAAAUGCAGUACAUGAUUUGAUCACAGCCUAAUCCAGUGGCAACAGAGGGCCAAAGAUGGCGCGAGUGGAAGUAAUAAAGGGCAAUGGUGGGUGAGGUGAGGGCCUGAGCCUGAGGGGGGAAAGGCGGAAGAAGCUUUCGCUUUCCCGGCUGUUGCUUUCCUUCCGCCCUCUCUUCUCUACAUGGGCUGUAGUAAUUAUUAUUCCUGAGUGCCACCAUAAGCGCGCAUCAACAAACAAGAGCCUCGACCUCCCGCGGCGUACCUCUCCUCUCCAUCUCUCUUCUCGCCUCCCGCGGCGCCCGGGUUCCCACGGCUGGAGGAGCUGCGGCGAGGCCUCUGCCUGUGCACGCGACGGCCGGCGGCUGGUCGUCGGAGCCGCGUGCCGACUGCGGAGAGGAGGCGACGUCAGGACGAGAUCCUUGGAUGUAUGGCUCUUGUCUUCCUUUCUCCGUUCAUUCGCGUCUGCGGUCUGCGUGCAGAUUGAUUUGAUUUCUUGGGUUGGUUAUCAUUUUCUGGUUCUUGGAGGAAAUGCUGUUUCUUCUUCUUCUUCUUCUUCUUCUUCUUUUCUUCUUCUUCUUCUCCGUUGUGAUCUGGUUGCACGUGGGUGGGGUUCAGCUUCCCAUUCUGUUGACGACUUGGCAUUUCUGUUCAUGUGCUGGUGUGCUUGGCCUUGGAUGAUUCUUUCGAAAUGAAUUCAACAGAGUUUUGUUCAUACGACCCUGCUCCGCUUCCUUUUUCUUAUGAUCUCUUUUAAUUCGUGGCGAUUAGAAAUAUGUCUCCCUUCUCUUAUCAAAAUGCCAAUCGAUUCCAGUUGCUGUGACAGUGAUAUUCAGCAUCCUGCGCGUGCCUGAAUUUGCUCUGGCCUUGUGUAUCAGGUUGAUUUCAUUAGCAGGAAAUGAUUUUUUUUAAAACUGACGAGCAAUCCUGUGGUGUUUCGGUUGUGACAUGCUUUCUGCAGAAUCUGACAUGAUAUCCUGCACUUCUUUCUGCAGGAUAAGAAAGUCAAUCUCCUUCGUCCUGCAGAGACUCUGAUAUCGCCAUCGAAGCACCGCUGGAUCUCCCUGGCUGGCACCAUCAUGCUGCAGUACCUGGACUUCUCUCAUGCCAGCACCUCAAGGAAGUGGGGGCACAAGAGACAGGGCGAUGGUAUGGCGAUGCAUGCUGAUCCAUUUCUCUCUGUCCACCAUCCUACAACACAAAAAAUUGACCUGAAUUUCUGAAUCCUUGAUGGAUGCUAACAUAACCGAAGGAUGGAAUAAAUUGAUCAAGAGGGGGGUUUUUUCCUGAUAUUUCUCGGCUUUUUGAUGACUGAAUUGGGAACUCAUUGGUAUAUGCCAUAUCCAUGCUUCCAGGAUUUGAAGCUCCAAGAAACAGCAUGGAGUUCGCCUUGGAGGCUUCCCACAGCUACGGCGUUUUCCAAGAGGAUGUCCCGGUGAGUCUUCCUUGUACCAGUACUGCUCUGUCAGAGUAAUUCCUUCAAUCUUCUGUUCCCCACAAGUAGGCACUGUUCUGUUUCAGAAAAGAACAUGUCUUGUUCCUCUGACGCAUAGUUCGUUGUGUGCGUGAAAAAACUUUGAUCGUUCUUGGGCGAUGACUGGUAACUUUGUUGCUAGCUCCAAUCUGUACUUGCAACUGACUGUAGUUACCUGACACGACAUAACAGAAACUGCAUUAAUAAUGUCAAGUGGUAGACCUUCAUCUGCUGUUUCUUUAGACGUGGCCCCCAUCUUCUUCCAUCUACUGUUGCUGCAUCUACUGACUAGUCUUUGCCUCAUUGUCAUCUUUCCAUUCAAUGAGCAAACUUUUCAUUAGGCACAUCAAGUAUUUUUCUUCUUUUAGAUGAAGCAACGUCCAGUUACUAUUUGGAAAGUUUGUAUUAUUUUUUAUUGUGCAAAAGGUGACGAACAAGAAACUACGAUGAUCUUAUUGAGUUUCUUGUGAAUUUAACAGUAUUCCUGCAAUAUGAGGCAGUAUCCAAAAUCCGGGCCCAGCCACAGCUCUACCCCAAUCAAGAAGCUGAUCCAUGAGGACAUUUCCUUCAGAACAAAUGAAGGCCAGAAGAGGCCCAGCGUCAUCGCCAGACUGAUGGGCAUGGAUUCACCUCCACUGAACACAAGCACUGAAUCCAUCAGCCGUUCAGAAGAAAGAAGAUCAGUGCCAAGAAGCAGAGAUCCUUCUGAAAUGAUCUCAACCAAGCAUGUCUCCUUCGUGCCACACAAUAAGGACUCCAUCAAGCAUGCACCAAAGCAAGAAAUCCGAGCCUACGACGACGAGAGGGAUGUGUUUGGGCAUCCUAGCAAGAGGAACAAUGAGUGGAGUAAGCCGCAGCCGCGAGAGCACCCGCAAGAGGAGGAGCUGCAGAAGUUCAAGAAGGAGUUCGAGGCAUGGCAGGCGAGCAGAGCAUGGGAGCAAUCAAGAAGUUUUGAACUGGAGAGCAACCUCGAUGACGACGACGAUGACAAGUGCACGGAUAUCGUGCCGUACAGGCACCAGCACCACAAAGGGAAAGAUGCUAGCAGUGGCAACAAGUACAUUCACUCCAAUGACGAUGUGCAUCGGAGAAGAAGCAAGGAGAGCAGCACAUCAAUUUCCGGCAGCCGUACGUUCUCUCUGGCGAGCGCAGACGCGUGUUCCACGAGGCUGCCACUCUCCAGGUUCUACCACGAGGAGGAGAGGUCGUUGUCGCCGACGAGGAUCGUCGUCCUGAAGCCCUGCCCGGAGCUGAGCAUGGACGACAUCGAGGAGUCGUCGCUGGGGUCGCCGGAGCUGGUGAAGAAGGAGAACAACAUGGAGGCCUUCCUCGAGGAGGUGAAGAAGAGGCUAAAGAUUGAGCUCGAGGGGAGCAUGGCCUCCGACGACAAGGCGAACCGGUGGGCCGUCGGCGACAUCCCGGCCGACCCGAAGAAGAUCGCUCGGAACAUCGCAAACCAGAUCAGGGAGAACGUCACGAGGGACUUGCACCCGGCGCUGGUGCGGUCGGAGUCGACACGAUCAUACCGCAGCGAUGUGCCAUUCAAUGGCCAGAACCAGAUGGAUUACAUCGGCAGAGAUGCCAGGAGGCAGCUCUCUGACAGGCUGAAGAACGUGCUGCGAAGGGAGCCGGACGCCGAGCCGCCGUUCUCUCACCGGAGAAGGGCCGCCUCGACGUCGUUCGACGAGGAGCCGAGGCCCAAGCCAAGGCACGACAUGGCAUCAAGGAAGGGGAAGAUCAGGAGGAAGGAGGAGAAGAAGUGCGCGAUCGAGUCCGACGUCAGGUCCUUCAGAUACGGAUCAUCAAACAAGACACCAACGACCCAAUUGGACUCGGAGCCGGUAUCGCCGAGAAACCUCAUGAGGUCGUUCUCGGCGCCGGUGUCCGGGACGACCUUCGUGAAGCUCCUCUCGGAGGAGCCCCGGGUGCUGACCGGCGCACGGCUGCAGCGCAAGCAGGAAGGCUACGGGAGCAGGCCGUCGUCGUCAGAGGAGAGGAAAGGGAGGAAGGACGCUUUCGGCAUCAAAGGCAAGGUGUCCAACUUGAGGCAGAACCUGGGGCUCAGAGCCAAGCUGUUCGGCAAGAAGUUCCACGCCACCGACGAGUCGUCGUUCCCGGACGACCUCCCUCCGAUCGGCACGCUGGUCACCGCACCUUCGGUUCUCAUACACCCCGGCGUUCUCCAGGUGAGGCAACUCCACCAAGGUUGAUGGUUUUUCUUUUCAGAGCCAUUGCAAUCUGACAUGAGACUGAUGCUUCUUUGGUUGCAUGCAGGAGAACUCAACCGAGGUGCCGCCGAGCCCGGCGUCGUGGUGCAGCAGCCCGCCUGACGAGAUGAGCAGGGGAGGCUACCCGAGUCCUGUCUCGCCGUUGGAGGCCGCCUUCAGCGGGCACCGAUCGCCCUUGAGGACGGCAACAAAGGACAUGAUCUCAAGUGGUUGUGGUGAGUACCAAGCAUCCAGUGAUGCUACACUGAAUACAUUCUUCAGUGAUUAUGUUUGCCAUGAGUUCUGAUCAAAGAACCUCUCGCAGAACCAGGAAUCUUGUCAGAACAAUUUCAGACGACUGAAGAACGAGCUGAGACAAGUCCUGUCCUGGACGACCAGGACGACGACAUGGACGAGUUGGAUCACCCUAUCAAAUCCUUCAUCAGAGACGUUCUCGUUGUCGCCGGCAUGUACAGAUCGAGGCAGAAUCCCGUCAACUUGUUAUCAGACUGCGAAGCUAAGCCGAUCCCCAAGCGGGUGUUGGAGGAAGUCGAGUCCUCGUCCUCAACCGUGGCAGCUUCAUCCAAUGUCGGUGCGGCAGCCAUCGACCACCGGCUCCUCUUCGACCUGAUCAACGAGGCGCUCCCAGGAGCUGUCCGGUCCUCGACGACGCUCUGCACAUUCGACAAGUUCUAUGCCGCAGCACCAAGAAGAGCCCCCGGCGGCAAGAAGCUUCUAGAGGCACUGUGGAAGUCCGUGCAGGUGUGGCUAGAACCUCCAAGCCAUAGUAAGACGUCGAGCUCUGCCUCCGUGGACGUGCUGAUCGGCCGUGACCUGAGCAUGUCAGCGUGGCAUGGUGCGUUCCGUGACGACGCCGACGCGUUCGGAGAAGAGGUGGAGGCGGAGAUACUGGACGAGCUGGUUGAUGAGAUGGUGUGGGACGUGCUCCUCAACGUGGGGGACUGAUGAUUCGUAGGUCUCUUCUGACGAGUAUACUUGUACAUUUUAGGGUGCCUUUUUUUUUUACCUCUUCUGAGUGCUUGCUGGAAUUGCGAUCGUGUGUUAGGUGAGUGAAAAAUGUAACUAUGUUUGCGCGUGGAGAAUUCUAAAUUUACACUAAGAAAUGCAUAAAGAAGCAAAAAUAGAGUGGAUUUAGAAAAAGGAAUGCGAGCUUUUUAUUAUUUUUGGUGCAGUUUUUGCACCAAGUCUUGCCUACCGUGUCAGAUUUUCCUAGGAAAAAUAGCUGUAUAUUUCGACGGUAUUCUUUUCAUUUAGGGAAAAAAACUUGAAAUUCAAGAAAUUUUAUUUGAGCCCCAAUUUUACGCCUGUUAAAGUGAGCCCCUUCAAUAUUUUCCUCUAAAUGCUGUAAUCGACAAAGGCUUGCACAUAGAGUGGUAAACAGAGAGUCUGUGAACAUGAGUUUUCUUGCUGCUGAAGAGUUAAACUUUUAAGUUUGUCAAACAGAAGGAAUAAGAUUAGUGACAAUCGGACAAGCAUCACGCAGUACCAAAUCCAUUUGCUGAACACCGAGUACCUAGCUAGCCCUUUCUGUUCGUAUUCGGGCGAGCUUGUGCAAAGACAAUAUAGUCCAUUCGGCCGCGCCCUUCCAAACAACAUUAUAGGUUGGCUGUGAUUCUGCUUUUGGUGUUUUAUAUCUUUACUUGCUCUUGGUCUAUGAUUCCUUCCACCAUUGAGGGACUUGCAACAAAAUUGUCUCAACUAUAAAAAAAAUAGUCUUUAUGCUAACAAAAUAUUAAAAAAUACGUUCUGCAACAUUUUAAAUCAUACGGUAGAAAAAAAAUCACCAUGAUAGAUAUUUUACGUACUAGUGAUGUAACAAUUAUAAUAAGUUACAAAUACAUGAUUAGCUUUGAGAAGUUGGGAAUUGCAGUUUAUAUCUAAAAUCUUUCUACAUCUAUUUUUAAAUUAUUGUACCAUAAAUGUGUAGAUGAACUCACAUUUUUUGUUACUUGUUUUUCACUUAAAAAUGGCCGUAAUUUCAAUUUAACCUUAAAAAUAAUAUUUUGUGUAAUAAUACACAUAAAUCAUGAGGAAAAAUAAUAAAAGUUCUUGAUAUGACCUAUUGUUCAAACAUAUUAAAAUGACUUGUAUAUAGAAUCUGAUGGAGUAUAAAAUUUUGUAUAUUAGUUAUGUACAAUUUUAUCCAUCUCGCGCUCCUUGAUGUCAAAGGAGUGACCUGGUUAGAAUCGCAACUUUGUAAGAAGGAGAGUGCAAAGGGCAAUGCUGGCGGUGACCGCUCACCUGUCGUGGUCGCCUGCGUCUGCCUGUCGCCGGAGAGAAAGGGAAACAAAACUGUUGUUGAAUUUGGAGGAUCUCAAUGGCGACCGGAGAAGACAAGCAUCCUCUUUUUAUAUAGCAUGAGAAGCGUGAGAACGGUGAGAGCGAGACAAGGAAUUUGAUGGCUCAAUGCCAUGCAGCACAACGGUUUUGUGUUUGACGAUGCGGGUGCAUGACCCAACCCUAUCUUUUUUUAAGGCAAACUUUGGGGAGUUCCUCACAACACUUUAUUUUAUAUAUUAAGGUUAGAGAGUUAGCGUCACAUACUUACAAAUAUGUACAAAGAGUGAGGGCACUGAUGUUAGGGAUAGAUCUCAGUACCUGUAAGUAAGGAAGAAGACGGACUUCCACUAGUAUUCACUGCAAUCCUACUAUAACUCAUACCUUGUAAUCCUACUUGAACAUUUCCUUAUAACAAUUAGUAAUCACAUCCCUUGGAGUAUAUAAAGUAGGGCAGGGGUACUUAGAUCAGCAAAACCAUGAUGGAAGACCAAAUCCUUAACACCAAACAACACCCAAGCGCAGGGCGCGGCGCAAUAUACAACACCCCAAACAUAACGUAGGGUAUUACGCUACUUUGACGACCCGAACCUAUAUAAAGCUGUCUUAUGUCCUCGCUUUUACCAUCAAGUUACAGAUCCGGCGAUCCCCCACCAACCAAUCUACUACCUCGGGAUACCCUUGGUAGGUUGUCGGGCCGACAUCCGGCGUGCCAGGUAGGGGUGAUUAUCGAGAUCAUCGGGCGAGCUUAAAGGACCUCAUCUUCAAAAUCAAUCUACUCGAUGAGAAGGAAGUCGUUGAGUUCCAAUUCGAAGCGGAUACGAGAAGCCAGUGGGAGAUCAAUCAGUUGUCGGCUCGUCUGCAUGCAAAAAACUGCAGCACUAGUCGCACUGCUAUAGCUGAUCAUCCUUUGUGGCUCCGUGCGUCGCUCAAGGCUAAUGAUCCGCUACCGCUCCAUGCCCGUGAGAAGGAAAAAUACCAGCGGAAUUAUUUUUCCAUCUCCAAGUCGAAGUCACCGUCGAUGCAUCUUAUGCUAAUUAUCUCCGGUUGCCGAAUCCUAUAUUGAAGUGAUGAAAGCCAAUCAAUAUUCCAUCUACUGCCCGUGCGCGGAUCGAGGAAACUAUACGAGUACUCCCCAUGUAAGGCUACUUUUUGGAAUUUCAGUACACGUACCAGGAAGGCUACCAGGAGAUAUGUUUCUCUUCACUACACGUACUCAAGAAAUGCACGUGGCACUUCAGCAUGCAUGACUGCGCUGGCUUCACCGGAACGCUCGGUGACACAAUAACGACUACCUAAAACUUCUUGUAUCGACUACAAACUAGUUGAGGGCGGGUUCCACGUGAUCAACAACUAGUCAGAAUCAACUCUGACUAGUCGGCUUCAUCAACAACCGUUGCGGCUUCACGACGACCGUCACGGCUUCAUCGACGAUCAUCCACGAAUCAAGCUAAGUCACUUUUUUAAUUAUUUUAUAUAAUUUUUUCAGCUUGUUUUUCGCAUGCAGGGCAACGCGCCGAGUACUUUUUUUUGUACGUCUCUCGACAGAAAUUACCCUCCAGAGCUACACUUUACCAAUUAUUUCUAGGACAUGUUAACCGACAACCAUGGGCUUGGUACACCGAAUUACGGAGGCUAUAGCCAGGGGUUUUGUGCACUGAGUUUUGGAAGAUCCGCCAACAGGCUUGGUACAUCGAAUUUCGGAGGCUACGGCCAUGAGGUUGGUGCACUGAGUGCUAGAGGCUCGUAGCGGCUACCCCCUAAGGAGGCACAAAUCCUAUGCGCGGCAACACUCGCUCUCCUCGCCAAAAGGCAAAAAAGUCUGAAUGACUAUUUUACGCGCAAUCGCGCUCUCUUUUUAUCGCAAUGUCGAUUACAUAUUUUUGUUGUCUCCUCUUAGCGGUCACUAAUCUCCUCAAGCAGAACACGCCUUAAUCCGUGAAAGCCUCAGAUCUUCUGUCAUGCCUAAACGCUAGGACGCGUACACGAGACAAAGAUCUCAGACGCGUAGCAGCAGUGCUAGUACGCGUACACGAGACACAGAUCUCAUACGUAAUGGCAAUAGCUAAACAGGAACUGAGAGCCUAAAUGUAUCAGGCUAACUACUCGGAAGAAAUAUGGCCGAAGCAAGAAAAUGACACACAACAUUUACAUUCAUACUGAGUAAAUUUCGGUAGUAUCUUCAAAAUUUUACAAAUAUACUACAUAUUAUAUGCAUCUCUUUUUGCAGAUCAAGCUUCGGCGAUGACUUUUCAGGACACUCAGCAUAUCUCCAGUGGCUCUGCUAACUCCCAGGCUUGGGGACUAAGCACUAAUUAAGCACUAAUUACUGCUCGGAAUAUUUCCAAUGGCUAAGCUAGCUUCCAAACUCGAGGGCUAAGCGCCAAAUAACUACUCGACGUGGCUCCUACGGCUUACCUGGCGUAUAAGCUUGAGGGCUGGACGCCGCAAAACUACUCAGAUGACGACUGGCGUGAAGACUAAACCUUGAUAGACUCUUGAAUUGAUUAUUUAAUCAUUCCAAGACUCGGGGGCUGAUAAACUACACCAAAUACUUGAUUUUUUCAAGAUGAAAGAAAAAGAUUCAAGAUUUUAUUGACCCUCAGCUUGAUUCUUCGAUUCAACCUAAGGUUCGAGGGCUACUCCAUAUGGAGUGUGACUUUCACACCCUCCAUAUCACAUUCCAAAGAUGAAAAUUAUAAAAUCAAGACGAUCAAGGAUUUGAGCACACCAUAGCCUCAUGGCUGCUUUGAGGAACUUUGAAGAUUCAGCCAGACAAAAUACUCGAAGAGCACCAAACUACUCGGCGAGGAUCUGAAAAGUACUCGAAGGCUGCUACACUCGACUAUGAAGCGCUUGGAGGCUUGUCGGGGAUAGAUCCCCAUACCCGUAAGGAAGGAAGAAAACGAACUCCUAAUAUGAUUCCCUGUAAUCCUACUGGAACUCAUACCUUAUAAUCCUACUAGGACUCCUCCUUGUAACUGACUAGUAAUCCCGCCUCCUGGAGUAUAUAAAGAAGAACGGGGAUACCUAUAUGGGCAGAACCACAACAUAGGACCAAAUCCUCAACACCAAACAACACCCAAGCGCAAGGUGCAAUAUACACAACCCCAACAGGACGUAGGGUAUUACGCUACUCUGGCGGCCCGAAUCUGUAUAAAUCUGUGUCUUGUGUCCUCGCUUUUACUAUCAAGUUUUAGAUCCAGCAAUUCCCCACCAACUAAUCUAUUACCUCGGGAUACCCUCGGUAGUACCGACAACAAAAAGAUACAAAUAGGAGUUUAGUCAUUGAGUAAGUUGAAGUCUACGGUCUUCUCGGAAGCGAAGCAGCUGGAGGAGAACUUUGUUCUUGCACCUCACAGUCCAAAGCUAAAUGCUAGUUUGAGGCAUAUCAAAGAUUAACAUUACACAUUUUCUAUAUUUCCCAUGACACUAUAAUGAAGAUUUCCACGAAGAACACUUGGGGAGAUGCUUGUCGUGUAGUUUUAAUCCUCUCGUAGAUGUUCAAUGAACUGUCCCAGUGAAACUGCAAUUUCAGCCAGCAGGUUUGUGCGAACUGGCAAUCAAAGAAGAGGUGAUCUCUGUCCUCAUCAAUGAGGGCAUCAUAGAGGACGCAAUUGAACCCUGUUUGUACAUUGAAAUGCCUUCUUCGCAUAAUAACUCUUGUAUUCAGACGAUCCACUACCAGUAACCAUGCAAAAAAUUUCAGCCGAGGCGUGCACUUGGAAUGUCAUAACCAAGCACGUCUGUGGGGCCUGAAAACUAGAGAAUACACAUUUGUAAAACUUGUUGUAGGUAUAUGUCAUUACCCCAGAUGAAGGUCCAAUGGUCUCUCAUGUUGGCAUCAUAUGAAAUUUCCUGCAGAUAGAGAUGUAAUUGUUGCAUUUUAAGUAUAAGCUUCCUGUGAAAGUGGAAGCGUGAAAACAGUCUCUAGAUCAACAGUAUUCAUGACAUCUUUCACUGAGAGUUGGGUGUUGUUUGCAAAAGAGAAGAGCCUGGGGAAUAGAUCAGCUACCACAUGCCAAUACACCCUAUAAAUAACUCGUGGCCACACGCCAAUACACCCUUAGUUUACGAGACCCUUCCACCACAUGUAUAGCAAAAUGUCGUCGAACUAUAGUGAAAUAGCACCGAGCCAUCAUCUGCCGGUGCCAUGCCUCGUCGUCGAUCCCGAUGCGAUAACCGGAGAGGGACGCACCGUUCUGCUAGACUCCAAAGGCGAACGCCUCACACGCGACAUCGAGGCUUUGAAGAGUAAUACGAGAUUUGGACUCACCUGGCAAGGGUGGAUACUGUCUUCGGAUCCAGAUGAUCGCCGCACCUUCCUCUACGACGACCCUCAUACUUCGGACAAGAUUGAGCUGCCACAUUUGGAGACCCAGGUGCUACCGCGAAAUUUUGAGUGCGCGUUGUCUGACAAACCAACAAAUAUUGGAUGCGUAGUGGUCGUUCUUCAUCCAGAAGAUACAUGUUUUUGGUAUUGCCGCAUCGGUGGACAUGAGUGGAUCGAAUAUGACUACGACGUGGGAAGCCAAAAGUAUGAUGCUAAAGGUUUGGUUUGCAUAUCUUCAGCUUAACAAAGAAUACCGAACGAGUAUGCUUCCAUCCUUCCAAAGAUAUUCCAAAGCUGUCUUCUAAAGCUUUCUGGUUGCUACCUACCAAUUGAAGUGCAAACCGGGAUGGAGAGACACCGUAGGCGUUUCAGCUAGCGUCUUCGUCCCCACUGUAUAGUUCCUUUUACAUAAUUUGUGUUGUAUGUGUAUUUCAGUACACUACAUAUGAGCCAAUUACGCAUAUAUCCAUGUGCUAGUCCAAUUGCAUUGCAUUGGUAAACAUUAGCAACACCGAUCUUGUAUAUCUCUAUUUGACAUUAUAUAUAAGUAGCUAGUAAUACGGUUUUCAUUAUGCACAUGACUUACACACAUUGCCGAGCGGAGACGUUAAUGCCGUGACAAAGGGGUAAAGUAUUCUUUUCGGGCACUUCUCGAGGACGGGCGGCUGCACGGCAUGAUUGGACAGCCGCGAGGAGCCGAGGACCGGUCGGUGACGUACCUAAACCUAGGGAGCCCCACUGUCGUCUGGUCGGACAUGAUCCACCAAAUGUCAGGGGUAUGGGGCCGUCACGGCAUAGGAUGGUCAGGGAGUUAGGGAGGCCAUGUAUGGACACAUAAGCUACACCAUGAAUCCAUCCCAAUUUCAACCGACGGGACGACACAUACGGGGUGAUUGGUUUGUGCCCCUGCUGAGCCUGGCUCGCCCAAGUUGGCCAGGCCCGACACAUGCAUGGUGAGCAUGAUUGGUUGAGCAUUUCAUUCCAACUAGACUUGCUUGCAUUUACAUAGGGAUAGUAAAUUUUUAUGUACGAUUCAUGUGCUCGCUACGCCCGCUCGAGCCAGGCUGCACGGAAACAUCGAUUUCUCUCAUAUCUACCGAGCCUGGUUGGAGGAGGCUUCUUGCACCGCACGGGCUAGGUCUUCGGACAACCAAUCACGAGCAGGUUGCAUCUGACGAGCAUGGCUGAGAUAUUUACAUGCAACCAAUCAACAUUAUAAGCGAUACCGUGCAAAUCCAACAUGCUCCGGCUCUUCAUUCGCUCUCCCAUACUAGUUUCUCGUUAUCUUUCUUCCUCCGAUCCGGAGCAUCACACGACGAACAUGUGUGAUGAUGGGUUUAUUUCAUCACAAAUUUACUGUAGUUGACACAAUAUUUUUGAAAGCAACGGAAUGGAAUUCCUCCUGGAAUAGCAUGGGUUUUGAAGAAGACCACAGGUGUCGAGCACAACGAUUCAAAUGUACACCCUUUUUUGUGUUUUUGGAUUUUGGAAAACCUGAAAACUCGAGGGGGAUAAUUGAGAAGUUUACCUGCUCACCGUCUCGACACCCGGAGGAACCCAACCACUGCCCUCGCGACACCGACAGGGAGAAGAGGCUCGUGCUCCUGCCGCCCGCCGCGACACGCUCCCCACGAGAUCUCCGCCUCCCGUCGCGGCAGAUCCACCCAGCCGCACCCCCGCCGGCGUGGUCUCCCUCUUGAUACCGGAGAUGGCGGGGAUGGAGGCCUUCGAGGCCUACUUCCGCCGCGCGGAUUUGAACCAGGACGGCCGCAUCAGCGGCCAGGAGGCCGUCGCCUUCUUCCAGGGCGCCAAUCUGCCGCAGCAAGUCCUCGCCCAGGUGCGCCCCCCUAAACCCUCCCUCCAAUUCGCGCAUUUGCACAUUUCGAGCGCCCAAUUUUAGGCUUGAUCUCCGCAAAUGGUAGUAGAUCCCUCGCCCCGCGAAUUCGAAUGACUUGGAGUUUUUCGGAUGCGCGCAGGUAUGGAUGCACGCCGAUCAGAACAAGACUGGCUUCCUCGGCCGCCCGGAGUUCUUCAACGCGCUUCGCCUCGUCACCGUGGCGCAGAGCGGGCGUCAGCUCACGCCCGACAUAGUGCAGUCGGCGCUCUAUGGUCCUGCCGCGGCUAGAAUCCCAGCUCCGAAGAUUGCCACUGGACAGGCUCCUCCACAGAUGGGUGCGGCUGGGGCUGCUAGGCCGCAGGGGAGUGCUGCGAUGACGCCAACUCCAGGGCAGGUUGGAGCGGUUGCCGCCGCACCAAGGCCCCAGGGGACUGGCGUGAUCCCGACUUCUACUCAAGUUAGCAUGCCACAGGUGAACCCUGGAGCUGCUCCAAGACCCCAAGGGAUCAAUUCGAUAAUGCCGGCUGCGAGUCAGGGUGGUGCUCUGCAGGCAACUCAAUUUGCCGGACCAAGGGCAAUGCAAUCGCAGCCUCCUAACAUGGGAUUUAAUCAACAGCCCCCUUCAAGUACUGGUUUCAUGCGGCCACCUCAGGUGGGAGUUCCAGCAUCAUCACUUCAAGCUCAAGCGCCUGGAACCAAUCAAGGUCCACUUGGUGGAGGCGGCAUGGGAGGAUCUGUCGGUUGGCAAGGUAGUAAUGUCGCCUCAGCAGGAGGCAUUCCGCAAGCUACACCAGGAGUUGCUCCUUCACAGACAACACGAGGUGGAUUUGGCCUAGGAUUGCCUGGAUCAGUGGGCAUGGCUCCUGGACAGCAGGUGCAAGCAAUGUCCUCAUCGCCAUUGCCUCCGCAGAGCAACAUUGCUGUUUCACCUCAGGAUUCAAAAGCUUUGGUACUGUCUGGAAAUGGCUCUGCCAGUAGCUCAGGAUCAAGCACAGACAUCUUCUCUGCUCUUACACAGCCAAAGCCAAGCGUAUCUGCACCUGCACCUCAGACAAGCUCAAUUCCCAGCUCAUCCAGUUUUAUGUCCACACCAACUGGCUCUCAGAACCUGACUAAUCUUGGACAGCUUGGUUCUUUGCAAGGUAGCAGCCAACCUCAACAGACUCAGCCUAUCACCAAGCCCAAUCUUCCUGUUUCAGCUGCACCUGUUGUUUCUGCUGGGGUUUCUAAUUCAGCUUCCCAGUGGCCGAAAAUUAGUCAAUCUGACAUCCAGAAGUACAUGAAAGUCUUUGGGGAUGUUGAUAGGGACAGAGAUGGCAAAAUAACUGGCGUAGAAGCUCGUACUCUGUUCCUCAGUUGGCGGCUUCCAAGAGGUGGGAUAUUGUCACCAACUUUUCACUGCCCUAAUUUUGUAUUUGUUGAUUACUUUUUUUGUUUCAACUUUAGUUUCAAUCAAUGUUAUCGUACUGUUGUUUCACCUUUUCUGUUGCUGUGGUUCUUUCUUUUUUAUGUGCUAAACAUAUCUCAUAGUAUGUAAUACCAUAGCUAUGAGCUAAUGCAAGUUUUAUUCUUUUAACCAAUUCAGAGGUCCUGAAGCAAGUGUGGGAUUUGUCUGAUCAAGAUAAUGAUGGCAUGCUUUCUCUGAGAGAGUUUUGCAUUGCUCUUUAUUUAAUGGAGAGGCACCGAGCUGGAACUCCUCUGCCCCCGGCACUUCCUGACUCACUUAGGCAUGAUGAGACGUUGUUACGAGCUACAGGCUUGCCUUCAACAGCAUAUAAUGGUCCAUCAUGGCAACAGAACCAAGGUAAUGCUUGGCUUCUCGUCUGUUUCUCAGCUACCAUAACCAUAUUGUGAUAUGGCAUCCUGUGUUGGUCCAUUGCUUACUUGCUAAAUUAUGUUGUCAGCAGCACAAAGAGGCCCUGGAGUACCUGGUGUGCCUACUGGUGGUGUGCGGCCACCCUUACCACCACAUUUGCAUUCACAGGCUGAUGCUACUAGCAGAUCAGGGCAGCCAAGACCUCACAUUCCCGGUAUGGAUAAUCAUGUGGUAACUCAAGGAAGCAAAGAUGACAGAAGCGGAAUGAACACAGCUGUGCAGGAGGUGGCGGAUGCUCCUAAGAAGGUAUGUGGACCCAUCCUUCUUUCCUCAAUUGUCUGUGUUGAUCAUCAGUUUACAACUCCUGUUCCACUUUUAUCAGGCUGACUCUGUGUUGAUCGAUUCAGCAAGCUGAUGCACCUUUAAAUUAGUUCAGCUGGUCUAAAUUAUUCAUUAGAAGAGCUGCAUACGUGUGCUUUCGAUAGGUGUGAUCAGGGAUGGAAGUGUGAAUCCAUAAAUAAGCUGUUUUAACGCACCCAGGGCUAAGCCUGCUAUACUUUUGAUCUUUUUUUGGUACCAACACCUGAGCUUAAUGUCAUUAGGUACAUAUUUAGUUCGUAUCAGUUUGCACUUGUGUCACACCAUCACAUUAGUUAAUUACACAACCAUUAAGGUGUGGUGAUUUUGCCCCAACCAAAUUUCCACUCCAUGUGUAUCAUAUUAAUUAAUAUAUGCUCAUACUCUUGCUCAGAAUAUUUUCCAGAGACUAUUUCUUUGCAUUUCUUUAGUUAGCUGUUCUCGGUAACCUUUUGAUCUUUUUUUUGGUACCAACACCUGAGCUUAAUGUCAUUAAGUACAUAUUUAGUUUGUAUCAGUUUGCACUUGUGUCACACCAUCACAUUAGUUAAUUACACAACCAUUAAGGUGUGGUGAUUUUGCCCCAAACAAAUUUCCACUCCAUGUGUAUCAUAUUAAUUAAUAUAUGCUCAUACUCUUGCUCAGAAUAUUUUCCAGAGACUAUUUCUUCGCAUUUCUUUAGUUAGCUGUGCUCGGUAACCUUUUGCUCGUUGCCAAACAACUCCCUCUCAAAUGGUAGAGGUUUCUGAAUCGGUUCACUCAUUGCAAAUAUUUGCUCCAUGCAAGUUAUGUUUUCAAUUCUGUAUGUACUGGCAGGUAUUGCUUAUGUGCUUAACGCAUUUAAUGCUUUCCUCUUUUACUAAUUUAUACAUUCGAAACCAUUUACCUUUUGUCUCUUUUGCAUUUUGAAGGUUGAAGUGGAGAAGCAGGUCCUGGACUCGAGAGAGAAACUGGAGUUCUACCGCACAAAGAUGCAAGAUCUUGUAAGCACAGUUGCAAUUUGAGUUUAGUUAGAUAUUUGAUCAUUGGCAUUAAAAGUUGUCUUUUAUCAUUCUUUUAAUUCCUUUAUUUCCCUUAUUUUGAAGGUCCUGUAUAAAAGUCGGUGCGACAAUAGGCUGAAUGAGAUCACAGAAAGGGCAUCCUCUGAUAAGCGUGAGGUACAGAUCACUGCUUAUAGUAGCCCCUUUUGAGCUGUAGUUAAUGAUAAAUUCUUGGAGGCAGACAAAUUAAUAUCACAGAACAUUGCUUCUUUCAAGAUGUGGACCAACAUCGCAAAAUGCAAUUGCUCAUUUGAGUUAUUUUCAAUGCUAAAUGCUUGGGGACACAAAUUCAUAGUUGAACUUUUGUUUGUUUUCCAGCAAACUAACCUAUGGUGUUAAUUUAAUUUAGGUGGAAUCAUUGGCUAAGAAAUAUGAAGAGAAGUACAAGCAAGUGGCAGAAUUAGCUUCCAAACUGGCAGUUGAAGAAGCUGCAUUUCGUGACGUUCAGGUAUUUGCAUUCCUGCACCUCAAAAGAAAAAUCUCUUCAUAUAUAGUUUUUUUUUUGUAUUUAUCAUCAGCCUCAUUUGCAUUCCAUCCCUUGAUUUAUGUUCUCUUCCCUCUUGAUGGAUUUCUGUGUCUUAAACUGGACCAUGUUAUUUUGUUCAGGAGAGAAAAGUUGAGCUGCAUGAUGCGUUAGUUAAAAUGGUACAAGGCGGAAGUGUUGAUGGUUUGCUUCAGGUACGCUGUAACUUUGCUAGGUACGCUUUUGUUGUAUUUCUCAAUAACACUGGUCCUUUCCUAGGUUCGAGCCGAUCGAAUCCAACAUCAAUUAGAAGAGAUGGAGAAAGCUCUUAGUGAACGGUGCAAGCACUUUGGACUCCAAUUCAAGUCGUCCGCUACUGUUGAGCUUCCUUCUGGUAUCUGACUUUCCAUCUUCCUGUAAUUACUAUUUCAUUAUUCCUGACUUUCCAACUUCAUGUGGUCUUUAUAAUGCUAGCGGCUUUGUUUUGCUCCCUGUAUGCAACAUUGCACAUCUUUUGAUCACUUCUUCUCUUGUCUUUAUUUGUUAGGUUGGGAACCUGGCCCACAAGAGGGAACCAUCGAGUGGGAUGAAGACUGGGAUAAAUUUGAGGAUGAAGGUUAAAUACUUCCAUUUCAUUCUUCUCUAUUAUUACUCAAGCGUACCUGAAGUUUGAUUUAUUUUCAAAGUUGGCCAUAUUCAUGUUUAUACAUCAGAGUACUCUGCAUGUUGUGCACAGUUUUUCAAUACAGUGUCUGUCAUGCUGCUGCUUACAAAAUGUUUGUGCCUUUACUAAUUUACAAAUGGGUGUUAGCAUAACAUCCGUACUGGUACCUUAUCUGUGAAAGAUGCCAUGUCUUCCACACCUGUAAACAGAUACCAGCAAUGUCAUAUCCUGAAAUAAGCAACCACGACUAUUUCUAAGCCUGAUACAUUGUGUAGUUUAGUAUGAUUUGUCAAAUGUUAGCUAUUGCAGAUAAAAUUCAUUUCCUGUCAUUUUCCUUGUUUGGGUUCCUUUUCAUUGGAUAUAUCAAGUCAGUGCCUCUAGUGAACCUUCUGUGGCUAGGACAUAGUGUUGUACAUAGAUUUUGAUGACAUGAUCUAUUGUUAAUUUGUGUCUUCUACCUGGGCAAGUUUUUUCCUUGUUUUCCCAAUUUAACCUUACUGUAUUCCUGAUCAUAUCAUAUGGCAUAGCAGGGUUUGGUAUUGUUAAGGAUAAUGGUACGAUACAUGAAAACCCAGUUUCUGCUGAAAAUACAAAAGUACCAUCUCUUUGGGAUGAUGGGGAUGAUAUGUCCCCCGUUGCAUCUUCUAAUGGUCAUAUCAAGGAUGAAAGACGUUACAGUGGUGGUGACCGAGUGGCUGAGAGUGAAAUAGGAUAUGAUUUUGGUGAUGAUUCUGUGAGGAGCCCUGGUAGUGCUGGAAGGAGUGCCUCAGGAAGUCCAUUUAAAUCUUCCCGCUUUGGGAUGCAUGACUCAUCUCCCAGCAAAAGAGAAAGCUACAGGUACUUGUUUCCACCUUUGGUUUAUGCGUGUUAUAGAUGUUUACCUUGGUGCUUCCUAAGUGUCUCUGAAAAAGAUGCUGAAGAGUGUAAAUCGUAUUUGUAUCCCAUAUGUGAAUAACAUCAAUUAUUAUUUUGACGCAGUGAUCAUGGUGGUUCUGAAUCUGUUUUUGGAGACAAGUUUGCUGAUGAAACUUCCUGGAACUUUGAUGAUCAAGAUACUGACUCUGUUUGGGGUUCUACUGCACUGAACACUGUAAGCUAUGCAGUUUCUUAUUUCUUUCUUUAAUUUUUUGGUAUGUGGGUGCGUGUCUAUCCCUUGCCUGUUUCUGAUGAACUGUCUUAAUACAGGAGACUGACCAUCAUGGUGGCGCACAUAACUCUUUCUUUGGGUCUGAGGCAGGCUCGCCAAGUGGCGCUAGUGUAUUUGGAAAGAAGAGAAGUUCGUUCUUUGAUGAUUCCGUCCCAAGUUCACCUGCAUACACAUCUGGUUUCUCACCCAAAUUCGGUGAAAGCCGUGAUGAUAGCUCCUCUUAUAACUUUGGGAGGUUUGAUUCCUUCAGAUCCCAAGACACUGGAUUCUUCCCGCAGGAAAGUCGUUUUUCCAGGUUUGACUCCAUUAGCAGCUCCAAAGGAGAGACUGUGUCAGGAUUUGAUGCAGGGAAUAGCUCGCGGAAUUUUGGCCGGUUUGACUCUUUUGAUGAUGCCGAUCCAUUCGGUUCGAGUGGACCAUUUAAAGCAUCUGGAAGCCGGUCUCCCCCUAAGUUCUGAUAUGCUUUCUGCUCUGAUAGGGAUUGUGUCUUGUGAGUUGAUUUGUCAAUACAAAGUUCUGAUUCUUUGAGCGAACUCUGACAUUUUGAUGCCAUGGAUAGUCAUUUUGCUUGGCAUUUGUACCAUUUACCUUGUGUGCAAUUUUCUGGUCCAACUCGCGUACAAAGUGGACAGGUUUGGGUUAUAUCUUUGUUUUUUGUAAUCCUUCUCUUUAUCUUGUAAGUUGUAAAUUACACCGAGUUUGUCUUUGUUUAUAUGAAUUGGACGACUACUCGUGAUAACCUUUUUUUUUAUUAUCUUCAUUAUACUUUUGUAUAAUACUACUAUAUGGUAUGCCAAUGUUGGCUCAAGACCUUGAGUAAAUUGGGAAGAGGUUCAACAUUCUUUAUAAUCUCUGACAUGCCUUGUUUCUACUCCUGACGCCAUUUUAGAAUCAGUUACAGUGUGUGACUGUUUCACCUGUAGUCUCCCAGGUGCAAUGUAGCUUCUAUAUUUUAUCCUUCUAAUUUAGCUCCUGUUAUUACUUCAAAAGUGUCAAUACUUGCAACCUGCAUCUGCACAGAAGUUCAGAGUCAUUACUGUUCAUCAGGUUGACACGCGCCAGCUUUUUGCCUGAAAGGGAAAUCUCUUAAUGCUGUAUGCCGUGUACUUCAGUUACAUCGGCAUGCGAUUUCUGUCUGUUAUAAUAAAGCAGGCACCUAGUUCUCUGUUGCUUUAGAUAGCAUCAUCUAAAAACUGGUCACCCAAAGUUUAUGUAUCAAGCCACGCGACACAGGAAAGAGUGUUUCAGCUAUUACAACUUUGUUAUAAAUAGCAGCAAAAUGCACUCCAAACUAGAUCCCCGGACAUAAAUAGUUUGGAGUGCAUGUCUUCAUGCACUCCAAACUAGAUCCCCGGACAUGAAUGGUAACAGCUUACAACUAACGUUACCGUUACAUAGUACCGGCUAAUCAAAAUGCCGGCAAAAACCAAAAGCUCGCUUCUGACAAAAAAGAAUAACUUCCGCAGCGAAAC